UCCACCUCCUCCUCCUCCGCCGUCGCCGACGACAUCUCCUCCUCCCCCGAUCCCCUCCCUUCUCUCCGCGACCUCGCCGCCUUCUUCUCCGACCCCGCCGUCGACGACACCGAGAAGAACCGCCUCCUCGCCGCCGGCGGCCUCGCGCCCGCCCUCGCCGCCCAGAUCGUCAAGGAGGACGCCGGAAUGGAGACGGUGGAGGCGGCGAUCAGGGUCCUCGCGUUGGUCCUCUCCAUGGAUGGCACCCACGAGGGCAACGGAAGGGUCGCGAUUUCCGCCCUUUUGGCCGAUCUGGAUGGAUCCGUCUCCGCCCUCAUCGCCGUGCUCCAGAAAGGCAGCAGCUUGGAAUCCCGGAUCGAUUCCGCUCGGGUUCUCGAUUCGAUCCUCUCGUCGCCCUCCGAUUGCGUCGCCGAGGGGACCAAGAUCUCGAUCGCGGAGAAGCCGGAGCUGAUCCCGGAGCUGGUCCGGCUGAUCGGCGGCGAGACUAAGGUGGAUCCGGCGGCGGCCGACGCGGGGCUGCGGUGCCUGACCGGUAUCCUGGCGGCGGCGGGUCGGCGGGUACGGGUGCCGAUGGUGAGGGCAGGGUUGGUGGCGGCGGCCGCGCGGGCGCUGGCGGAGGAGGAUGUGGCGGCGGGGGCGGCGGAGCGGGCGCUGCGGGUGAUGGAGGAGGUGGCGGCGUGCGCGGAGGGGCGGGCGGCGAUCUGCGAGGCAGCGGAGGAGUGCGUGGGGGCGGUGAUGGGGCGGGUGAUGAGGGUGGGGAGGGAGGGGAGGGAGGCGGCGGUGGUGGUGCUGUGGGCGGUGUGCUGCGGCGGCGGCGGCGACCAGAGGGCGAGGGAGGCGGUGGCGGGUGCGAGCGGGGGACUGGCGAAGAUCCUGGUGUUGAAGCAGGGUGACUGCUCCCCGGCGGCGGGGAGGAUGGCCGGCGAUCUGCUGAGGAUGUUCCGGGCUGAUGCCAAGAGCUGCCUCGCCGGAUACGACAGCAAGACCAUCCACAUCACGCCCUUCUAAUCCCCCAAGGGGAGGAGUUAAAAGAGUAUUAAUAUAGUGGAUUAUUUACAGAUAAAUUUGAUUCGAGUUCAGCAAUCAAGAGGAAACAAACAGAGUGGAGUCAAAAAAAAUACUAAUAGACGAUUUGUAAAUGGAUAGAAAUUUUGACUUGAUAUGGAAAAAAAAUGUAUACACCACAAAGAAACUUGCUUAAUUUUUUUUAGUUGUUGUACACCAUCAGCGUUGAAAUAUUUUGUGUUCUUGACAAAAUACUUCUAUUAACAUUGCCCAUAAAAAACCAAAGACUUGAUUAUUUCAAGGAUAGUGAUGGCACUUUAAAAACUUGAACUUGUUAUAGGGUUUAAUAAGUCAUUGGAAUGGAGCACAAGACCAUUUAAUCUUUCAUGCACGCCAAUCUACUCAAGCAUUAGGACUUUAUUAAGCCCAAAGUCUUUAUUAAUCUUCUCGCAUUCUCUUCUCCAAUGCUGCCGCAUUCCUUGGCAAUUCCCCAGAUAUCUAUUGCCGAGUACAUUUCAAAGAAAAACAUUUGGUUGCCGAGUUUAUGAGUGCCAAUGGUGCUGUUAAUCUAAGAACACCUCUACCUUGCUAAUUAUAUAUAGUUUGCCGGGUACGGGCUUAAAGUCAAUUUUGAUGGCUCGCUUGGCAACAGUGAUGCAGGAAUUGGUUUUCCUACACGUAGGAUCAAGGGCUUUGAAGGCAAAAUCCAUAUCCAUGUUUGAACUACGGGCAAUAUUGGAAGGGAGAUAGAAGGUGACUCCACAAUGCGAAUACUUCAUCUAUGGGAGAUCACACAUUUCUUGUGGAUAUAAAGGAGUUAAAGGGCAAUCUCCUUGUUCUUUCGUGCUGCACACACUUACAGGAAGGCCAACAAGGUAGCAACUACAAAAAGAUUGAAGUAGGGCUUCGUUGCUCGCUCGUUCUAGUAUCCCUUGGAGAUCUCUUUUUUAGUUGAUGCAGAUGGUUUUGGCUAUCUUUUCCUUGGUUAUUGAGGUUCAUGACCCCCAUUGUAACCAAAAAAAAAAGAAGGUUGAGCUCCUAGUGAUCUUCUUCUUCGAAGGUGAUCUAACUAGAGAGAAAAUGGAGAAAAAAAAUCCUUCAAUUCACUUAACUUAGAUAACUGAUAUAACAUAAUAUUAAAAUAAUAGAAUUUUGAAAGAAAGGUUCUAAAUCUAUUUUGCUUACAUCGAUGAUCGUAAAUUGGUACAUUGAGUCUCGGGUCUCCAAAACUAGGUUGAAUUUUCUGUCUAGUCAAAAGAGACUGAAAAUUUUCUAAAGUAGUAAAAAAAAAAAAUUAUAUUAAGCUAAAAUUAAUCUUGGAGGUAGAUCUCGACUCUACAUCAACUUUAUCUUCUGUUAUGUUGCAUGAUUCCUUCCAAAUUAAAUGAUAUGCCCACUCAAAUUCUUACUAAAAAAGAAUAUCUUAUUUUGAUUACUUUUGUUUUGAACCUAAAUAUCAUUAAACCUCUCGCAUCAACUAAGUGUGACGAACCCUUGAAGUCAUUGCACCAUUGUAGUAAUCAUCAAGAGCUUCAUUUUAGCACUCCAAAAAUUAUGCUUCAUCACUGAGUUUUAGAUAUAGCGCUACUUGGCACUGUAUAUACCAUCAAUGUCAAUGAUCUACCUUGCCCAUAACAAGGUCAAUGAUUUUCUAACUGAAAAGGAGUGAUCUGGUGCUGUGAAUGGCGUCAAAGGAUAGGAAAGGGAAGAGAUGGAUGGAGAGAGAGCAAUCCAAGCAGAUAGAGAGGUGGAUUUCUCUCUCUUCGUUGCUCUAAAGAAGAAGCCCAAACUAACAAAGAUUUUGGGACUUGUUUCCAUUUGAUCAUGCUAGAAUGAAUCUCAAAGCACUCAAGGGAUACAAUGGUUAUGGAAAGAUCGUCAGUGUUCUCUCAUAAAGACCUCACUCGAACUCCAUAUGAGACAAGCUAGAGUAAGUACAUCUCAAUCUCAACGAAAUAGAGACGGCACAUUCAUUAUGUACGGUGUAUUGAUUUAUUUGUACUUGAAGUGAUAUGUUGAAAGUCUAACUUGCAUUUUUUUUCUCUUAUAAAAUGGAGGAGAAUCAAUCUUUUAUAAGUUAAUCAGGUAUGAAAACCCAGAGAAUUUACCAUCCAAGGAAUCUCCUCUAAUUAGAUGAUGGAUGUGAUGCUUGGAUAUUUCUCGGAUUCACAACUUGUAUUAUUCAAUUGAUUAGAUUGAUCUUCCUAAAUUUGUUGCCAACAUGACAAUGACAACAACAACAAAUCACUUUAGAGGUUUUUUUUUUUUUUUACAGAGUUUAGAUCCUAUUCAGUUUGUAGUUGCCUUGAAGAAGUCCAGUUCCCACUUAAGUUGUUCAUGUAUUGCACCAUGAUCUAGAUGAUAAAGAAGUAAUAUCAUCGCAAACUAAACUCUUAGCUUCUCAUUCCACAAUCUUCAUUGUAAGAUACAUGGACACCUUCAUGGAGCUGAUUUUUGUCAUUCAAUUAUAAUUUUGGAGACUCCUAGCUUAUACAUCUAAUGAUGAAUAUAUAUAUAUAGAGAGAGAAUAUUUGAACCCUAUUUUUGACCACUUAAUGCAUAGUUUAGAAAUCUUCAAAUGAUAUAAUUUUGUAAGCAGUUUAGUGACAGUAUACCACAUCCAAUGAUUCCAUCAUUAAUAUCAUGAGACUCUCAAUAUCUAAUCAAGAUCUGAUAAUUCUAGCCGAUAGUCCUGGAAUCAAAAGAAAAAGCAUCUCUGGAGAAUUCGUCUCAACCCAAAGGUGGAAUAAAGACGUCAAAAAAAAGGCUCAAAAAUGACACCCCGCUCAUUUUGGUCCUGGAAUUUCCUCAUCUUUGGCGGAACGAAAUGGGAGAACUUUUCCUUUCUCUUCUUUUGUGUUCUCUUUUAACCAUCUUCCUACGAAGAACAUUAGCUUGGCUUUCUCAUAGUUAUUCCCUGUGACCUUCUCUGUGCACCAAUGGCGAUUAGCAGGCCGUCUUCCUCCUAGACCUGAGUUGGUGACCACAUGCAUGCAUGCAUGCCUACCGGCCUGUGGGCGGAGGCCACCGAGAAAACAUUCUCCGGAAACAUGGAAAAGAUUGCCGGAAUUGCUGAACCAGUAGCCGACCAGAUGCAGACUCCGCGGCGGAUGCUUUUGAUCCUACGACCCAACCAAAAGAGAAAGAAUAAAUAAUUAUCAGAAAGAGGAUUCUUUGGGUAGAAAAAUUCUCUGUGAUGACGGAAGGAUGUGGAAAAGGAUCGGUGGAUUGAAGAUUUCGGCAAACUCAAACAUCAGCUUAUGCUUCCGUUUUGACCACGCCGUUCCCUGCGAUCUUUCUUUAGUAUUACAUGUUUUACAUAAUACCAAGAAGAGUCGCAAAGAAGACUUUGUGGCUUUGCUAUAAUAUAAUUAUAUGACUCGUUGGUUCCAGCUAAUGAGUUCAACAAUGAAGAUAGGAGCAAAAAAGAAAAAGAGAGAGAGAGAGAGAUCGAGCUUUUUACUUUCAAUCUUUCAAACGUGCUGGCAACCAUUAACAGCCCGCGAGAAGUUGCGUUUCAGUUCCUUUUUCUUCUUUCCUUUUUUCCCAACCCUUUUUUCACUUUAGUUCGUUACAAAAGAACAUAGCACGCUUGAUGGGUACUUUAAAUUUGGAGUUGUUUAGUUUGCAGGAAAAAAAUUAUUAUCUCACCAAAAUAUAUUUUUUUAGAAAGCUGAUGUCUGAUUAUAUUAUACAUAAGAAAAANNNNNNNNNNNNNNNNNNNNNNNNNNNNNNNNNNNNCUAUAAAGAGAAAAAAAUAUAUAAGCCACUAAGAUUAAGAAUAUUUUUUUAAAAAAGAAUUUUACCUUGAUUCCUGACAAAUGGAAAAGUGGGUUUUCUAUGUCGCAUAUGGUUUCUAUUUUCUGUAGAAGAUGAAAAAUUAUUUCCAUGAAAAUGCUAUUUUUUUAUCUUUUUUCCUUUGAAAUAUCUAACCAAACAAAAAACCAUUUUGUCAUUUUUUCGUUAAUUCAUUUAAAACUUUUAUUUGUAUAAUUUGAAGUAUUGAUCUUAAUUACUUUAAAUAAUUAAUUCAAAAUAUUAACCGAGCAAGCCUGAACUUGAGCUAGGCUAUGAAUAGCUUGUUGGUAGGGUUGGCAAUUUAUAAUUUGACCUAUUAACUUGAUCUGCGAAUGAUCCGCUUCAAAUAGAUUUAGGUUUGACAUAAACGAAUUUGGGUCAUAAAUGGGUCACUCCAUUUAGCAUUUACUAAAUGGGUUGGGUUCAGGUUUUGACCUUUGACAUAUUUAAUAAUUAGGUUAGAUCAUAAACCGGCCCAUUUAACUUGUUUAAAACCUACCUAACAUGUUUCUGACUUAUUUAACCCAAUCCACUUUAACCAGUUUAACCUGUUUAAAUAUAUUUAAUCCAUUAAAAACUUAUUUAACCUAACUUGACUUGUUUAAUAAAUGGGUUAUAUGAAUUGGAUCAGAUUACCUGUUUAAUAAAUAGGCCAGAUUCAGAUAUAAAAUUUUUUUAUCCAAUCUAUAUCUGAUCCGAUUUAAUCCAACUUAAUUGCCACCCCUACUUGCUGGUUGGUUUGCCGGCCCUAAUGACGAGAUCUUCAACGUAUCAUUGUUUUCUUACGCUUUCAGCUCUUUCCAGUCAAAGGGAGCAAGAAAGAAGCCGAACCACGAAAAAGAUACAGAGAUUCGAACCGACGGGCCCAUAAAAGGGAUGAUGCAAAGCCCAUCAACCAUCUGCACCAUCCUCUCUCCAUACGACCAAAGAGUGGCCAUCAUGCAACAUGGAUAAAUAAUCAUAUACGUAAAGAGCAAAAGCAUGCAGAAAAGAAUCAUCAAAAGUAUUGGAAAUGGAAUCCAAGAAAAUAAGGCUGGAGACAAAAGGAAAAGCUUUGAGAUAUACUAGCAAGAUGCCCUCGAUCCACGACACUGAGUGUGAGGUGACCCGGAAAUUAUAUUCUUCCUGAUCUUCAGUUCUCAUGGACCUCAAAGGGCAGUUCAAUCAAUGGUAUGAAGGGAAGAAAAGAAGAUAGAAAAAAAGCAUUAAGCAAGCUCUCUGUCGCAUCUUGUAUAACUGUUUCCAAGACUGAAUUAUGCCCGUGCAGGCAUUUCUUCAAACCAUGUCAGGACUCUGAUGCAAAGUAGUGCUAAAAGCUACUAUGCUCUCUCAAAAUCAACAUGGAUUUGUUCGUACUGAUGUGGAUCUAAGAGAAGCUUUGCCCUAUCUUGAGGACGCUGCCCGAAAGAUUAUAUCAACAUCAAGCUCAGGCUUUACCAAGAUACAGCCAAGCAAUUUUGUCUGAAAAUGUGCAGGGGCUAUGGCAUCCUCGGCAAAAGAGUCAAAAAGAGUCUAGAGAAAGGGCUAAGAACUAAAUCUGGAGAUAGAAGAAACAACCAAGCUGCUUCACGAGAAAGCUCAGAUUUUUGCACCCUUGUGUUUCCAUGGCUGAGACGCAGUCAGUGAAAGAUGGACAUUGUCCAACCAGGAAUGGUGCAUGACAGUGGAGUAGAAACCUGAUCUAGGCGCACCGUUACUCUAGUAUUAGUUGUAGUGUACGUGCAAAUACAACUACUGAAGACAUUAGAUGUAAUGCAUUUUGGAGCGAAAUUCAAAUAUUUAAAGAAAAAUUCAAAUGUUUAAAGAAAAAUUCAAAUGCAUUAGGCAGUUAAAAAGUUUUGGAAGUACUAGAUAUCAUUAUUUUUUUAGACAAAAUUUAGUCCAAGAAAAAAAUAAUAUGUACAUUCACAGUGCAUAAAAUCAAUAAACUUUAUAAACUUUACGUACGUGCAAUAAUAAAUUCAGUUUAAAAUUGUCAAAAUUACACAAAUAAAACACCUACAUAUCACAAAAUAUUCCCAUAAAACUUUCCUUGACCUACUUUAUAUUUAAUUUUUUUGAGCUUUUUUUAUGACCAGAACUUUGAAACUAGUGAAAUUGCUGAAAAUGUUUGACCUGCCAUAAUUAUAACUUUAGAACCCCAACUAAAACUUGAGAGAGAGAGAGAGAGAGAGAUUUCAAACCUUGGUUAGUUAUAAUCCUUGAGCUGUGAAUUUUUGCAUUAUACUUUCAAUAAGCACCAUUCAAUAUUCCGUUCACAAACAUAUGCUAAAAUGAGGUUGAAAAGAGAAGUCAUUCAUCUUCAAUCACAAGAAGAAGAAGAUGAGUUGUACAAUAGGCAGAGGAGAAAACCUCUCUUGCCCAUGCUAUCUGAUUUUUUUUACAAUUUUAUAUACACCAAUACAACAGGCAAGGGAAGACACAGAGCAUGGUAGAUUAAUCAACAAAUAACAUAAUUGAAGGAACCAUGUACCACGUAAAGUCCUGUAUUCUUGCCCCGCCCCACUUCCCCCAGGAAAAAACGAAAAAUUGUACUCCGAUGUGCCAUGGCACCUAGUUCCUCUUUCAAAGAUUAGGCUGUUGCUACUACUUUAGGAUUGAAAUGCCUCUCUCUUCAGGAUGCAGAUUGAGUGGGCACUGCUGAUGAGGCCCUAUCUGACCCACGAAUGUUAUAUUUCUCAUACACCCUCUCACGGUUUUCUGACCACCAUGUUUCGGCUUGCUUUUCACCAAACCUUCUCCGACUGCAAGAGAAUUUUUAUUAUCAGGAAAUAAAAAAUCAAUAGCUUCGAUAUAAGAUAGGCAAAAUGUGGUUUUCUUAACUACCUGAAUCGCACCCUCUUCAAAUCUAUAGUUCCAUCAUGAAGGGUAAUGAGAGUUAUAUAUACACCAGGUUCAUAUUGUUCUAUCCAUUCAGCCUCAACCUGAUUACUAGCUGAAGUGGGGCUUCCAGGCUUUAAACUGUUGUUGUUUUCCAGGGGUUUGGAUUCCUUGCUGUCAGAAUCCUUUAUUCUACUGUUAGUUGAUGGCAUUUCUCCAUUGCUGUGGUCUUGUGUUUUCAAUAUUUCAUCUUCAUUGGGGUUUGGAACCCGAUGAUUCUGAAAAUGCAUUCUCAUCUCAUGAGCUUCACAAAUGUCUUUUGCUGCAUCACUUUCGCCGGAGGAUCCAUUUUUAUGACCUGAAUAAAUAGUUGUGGUUGGAUGCACAUAUGGAUCGUUGCUAUCAUUAUUUCUCAACAGGUGCUCUUCAUGCAGAUCAGAGUGCUGAAUAGCAGAUGGGUCAAUGCCAUUUGGCAAGUGGAUUGAUCUUAAGGCAUUGCUCUCAUGGACCUCAUGUGGAAGCCUUUCUGCCAUUUCUUUUAGCUACCAAAGAAAAUAACACUGAUCAGUGUGUUUUACAAAAGCUUCAAGUGCUGAUAAUCAGAAAGCUCUACCAGUGAUAACACGUAUAAGAAUGGAGAACAAUGUUAAGCUUCAUCUUGUAUAUAAAACUAAAAUCACCUCCCAUCCCAUAUGAUGGAGGAUGCAAUGAAACAGAUAUAGCAAGAUGCACUUUGGCCAAGUCCCACCUCAGGCACUAUAUCAUUAGUCCACAUUGUAGUUAUUAGCAAGUCACUACUACUAGCAAGCGCCACAGCCUUGCGGCGGUACUCAGUUUGCAGACUAGAGUAGGUGAAAACAAUGUCAUCAUGGUUGGUUAAGAGAGUUCAAGAACUUGAUGGGACUUCCUUGGGAGAAAAAUGAUUGCACCAAAAGAUCUGUCUUAAUCAGUAAGACAGUAGUUCUAGUUUAUUCUUGGCUAAAAAAAUUUCAGAGGUUCAUGAUAAACCUCUUCCUGCUGAUUUAGUAUAAGACCAAUACAAAACAAUUACAGCGGAAAGGUAGACAGUUAGAAAUUGCAAGCAAUAAUGAUCAUCAAUUUCCUCUAAAGGAGUAGAAAACUGAUGAUAGGUUCCUAUCGAUUUUUGCAAUGGCAACAUGAUCAAAUUUCAGGUGGACAAGAGGAUCUGUGACAGCUCUAAGUCUCACUUUGCUCAUCUGCAAGCAUAACUGUCAAGGUUGCCUUGACAGCAGACUAUUUCAUUGAAGCAACUCAUGGUGUCAAAUGUAAUUAGAAAAAUCUCCUUCAUAUUGAGGUGGAUGCAAAUCUCAUCUCUUCUAAUUCAUUCAUUAGGGGGGAUCUAAAUAUACUAGGCCCUAAUUUGACCCAGAAACCAUUCCAUUAUCAUGACCACCAAUCCUUAACCCAACUAUUCAGGGUCAGGUUUUAGGAUCCUCAUUUGCCAAGAACUCCUAUAUAGGGUCACCUCCAAUAUUAAUUCAAGAGCCAAGAAGUUAUUCCAUCAAAAUGUAUAAUUAUUAUUAAUAAUUGAUCAAGUAUAUCAACUCGUGCAGUUGUCUUCCUGAAAUGUGUUAAGUUGGAGAGCUAGGUGCAAGGACAGCUACAAAUGUCAAGAGCAGUUGAAUAAAUACAAGUGAUUUUUCAACAAAAAUAGGCUUACAACAAGGAUCAGCAGUUGCAUGAAUUACUUUAGACCAAGGACGGCGGAACCGGUACCGGGCACCAUACCAGUUGCCCGGCGGAACAAGUCAAUACGGGCCAGCACCGUGCCAUGCUAGGCUCACACCAACACAUCUUCUACGACGGGGGAGAGGAAGAACGAGAGAAGAAAAGAGAGAGAGAGAGAGAGAGNNNNNNNNNNNNNNNNNNNNGAGAGAGAGAGAGAGAGAGGCGGGAGGGGGAGAGAGGGAGAGGAGAAAAGAGAGGCUAGCCGGCAGAAGCUGGGGAGCCUCCGCGCAGAGGAGGCAGAGGCCGGGGAGACGCGGAGGCGGGUCUCCGCCUCCGGGCCUCUGUUUUAAAUGUUUUGUUCGAAACAGAGGCCCGAAAGUGGCCCCUUUUAUUUUUUGCUUUUUUUUAAGUUGAAGUCAGCAAUGGGUUUUCUGACUUCACUUAAUUUUUUUAUUUUAAAAAAAAGUAAAAAAUAAAAGAGGCCCCCUCCAAGCCCAUGUUUCAAACAUUUCAUUCAAAACAAGGGCCUAGAGGCAAAACAUUUUAUUUGAAACAGGCGCUCGGAGGCAGAGCCCCACCUCUGCGUCUCCCCAGACUCCGCCUCCUUUGCGCGGAGGCUCUCUGACCUCCACUGGCCGGCCUCUCUUUCUUCCUAUCCCUCUCCCUCCCUUCCCCGCUCUCUCUUUUCCUCUUCUCCUUCUUUCCCUCCGGCGAGGCAUCUUGGUUUCAAUGGCGGAACUAUCCCGGCCCGCCGCCGAUACAGCUUGGGUUGCCCCAAACUGGACGGUUCAAGAUGGUUCCACAGACCUUGCUUUAGACUAAUAACAGUUUAACUUAUUGCUUAUACUUAGGUACAGAACAUAUUUUAGAUUUUAUUUGCAAAUGAUAUAGUGUUUGAUUGGUGAAGAAAAAUAAAAAAGCUAUGAAUCGAAAUGAUGGAGAAAACCCACAAUGUUUAAAAAUUUGGACAUAAAUAUAGUAUAUGAAAACACAUCAGAAUGAAAAUAAAUACAAAAGUGAGGCUCCAGUUAAAAUUAUUGGCAAACGAUUACCAAGGUGUGAUCAAUUUUCUUGUCCAGGAUAUAUCACCCCAUGGACUGAAGAGACAAAUAAAGACAUACCCUAUUGAAUAGGAACCAUAUCAAUGAAGCUGUGAGAUGCCACUAAAGUGUCAUGUAACCAACACAAUCAACCAUGGCUUGGAAGAAAAUUUUUUUAAAUUAACAGUAAGGUCUCCAAUGCGUAUGGCUCAUAAUGUUGCACUAAAAAAAGAGCCCAAAAAAGAGUAUACUAAAAUGGGUACAUUAACUUUUGAAGGAUAGGCUAUAAAGCAAGGAAUGAGUAUACACCAAGGACAGGUGUUGGAAUUUGUGACAGAGGUUCUACAAAGAAAAGAGAAAGACAAAACAUAGUUACCAGGAAAUUUAUGUCUCAAUCAAACUUAGGUUUCAUGAGAAUGAAUCUGGGAAAUGCAUUCAAUUUGGUUUCUCAAAGAUCAAGAAAAAUGGAUGGAACUGAUUCGUAAUAGGGGCGUAAGGGACCAUGUGUCACCUCGUCAUUGCUCCCACUUGCUGUUGUCUCCUCCUCUGCCCCAUGGACAUGCCCUAUCAACGGAUUAAAUGGAGAAGGGAAUGGGGGGAAAAAGAGAUUGAGCAAUCCACCUAUAUGGCUUGAUAAAAGAACCCACCAAACUUUUUAAGAUUGUUAAAAGAAAUAGAAUGAGUGACUAACCCAAAAGGGUGGGGGAGAGGGAGGGAGGGAGCUGGGACGAGGGGAGGGGGAGCCUUAUCAGCUUCCAUAAACUAUAUUCUAGUUUCUUCACAAAAUUGCCCUUUCUUGAGAAACUGACAAGAAACCACUAUCAGGAAACCACAAUGGACUAGCUCCCAAAUAGUUCCACUGUUGGUUUCAAUAUCUUGCUACGAAUUUUUGAUAAUUUUUUAAUUAUUAUACAAUACCAUUUCUCACUUCCCACUUCGGUGACUUCUUCUUACCAUUGUUGCCCAUUUCACCCUUCCAUUUCUUUCCUGUAUAUAGCCUUAAUAAGAAUGACUAGCAAAUGAUAAUUUAUAGCACUGGUUCCGUAUGGUUUUGACAGGGCCCGAUCGUUAUCAUUAAAUGUGUACAAGCCGUUAUAACAGAAAAUCUUAGUUGGCUUAUUCAUCUUCUUAGUUGGUAUAUUUUCACUUGCAUAUCACAAAAGGCAUUUUGCUUAUGAAUAGUCAUGAUUUUACAUUAAAAUUUGUUUUGUUUAUUGAUGUUAUUUAAAAAUUAUAAUUGUAUAAUUUUAGAAUUAUGAGUUGACAGUCAAUUUUUUAUUUAGUAUAUGACAGGUGAGCUGAACUUUCAUAUGUUUAUUAACAUCAACAGACAUUCUAGAUGAGUUAAGAUGUCAGAUUGUUAGAUACAUACAAUAUAGAUAAAUAAAUAUUCCCUUUGGCAAACUGCCUAUUUUAAGUGUAUUUGAUAAAAAAUGAGUGUAAUAAUUUAUGUUGGUGCACGUCUGUACUUUCUGCUGUGCAUCAUGGCAUGAUACAAUCAUUGAGAAAUAGUCAAAACUGCUAAUAUUUGCAGAAGUUAAAUGUUGAAAACUUAAUCGACCAACUUAGCUCUGCAGUGUUAUCUACAUUAGCAAUGUUAUUUAUAGCAAUGGCCGUAUAGUUUCCCAAUAAUAGAAUUUAUAUUAGCACUUACACUCCAUCUUAUUUAAGUUCUCAGUGGAUCACUGAAUUGUCAAAGAUCAGUUCCUAAAAUUAUGCAAGCUUAGAAAAAAGGCCAUUACCCAGUUACAGUCCCGGCAAUCCAAGGUACUGGGAGACUAGGGACAGACCUAACCUUUGCCAUUUUUUUGCCCAAUGUGGCUGCUCUAGAAUUUAAACCCAUGCCAUUGCAUUUGUCAGCCCAAGCCAUUUACCAUUGCAACAAGCAAAUGCAAGCUACACAAACGGAAGAAUACAAUAGAAGACUACCUGUGCAGUCAAGGAUUUUAUAACCUCUUUUGCUGCUUUAGACUUUGCAGAUUCCUCUGCAGCUAAUUUCAUGGCUUCUUGAGCUUUCUUUGCCGAUGUCUGCAACUCAAAUUCUUGAACUUCACACCGUUGCAUUAGACUAUGAACCUAAUCCACAUGCAGGAGAAAAGAUAAGGAGUCUGCAGGUCAAGGACGACAAGUUUAACUAACAAGCAGUCAAAAACCAGCAACACUACCUGGGCACGUAAUUUCUGAACUUCUUGAUUCAGGUGCUCAUUUGUUUUCUUCAGAUUGUCAGCCUCUCUUUUGGAGAAUGAAAGACCUGACAUCGUGGGAAUAGGUGUUGCAGAGCGUGGAGGACUAGGUUUUCUUGAGAAAGGUGAAACAGAUCUGGAAUGAUUUUCGGACUGGACUGAUGUGUGGACUGGUCUGGGAACUGCUUGUUGCUCAUCAACUUCAGCAGUAAAAGCAAUACCUUUCAGCUGCAAAUUUGAAGGAACUCGAGAGUUGCGAAUCAAAGACAAGGAGUCAGAUUUCUUCCCUUGUUUGGCAGCCUUUGUGUCCAAAUUCUUGAUCAAAUCCACAUUGCUAGAUAAAGCAGAUUUGGACAAUUUUGUAUCCACCUUAUCAAGCCUAUCUUUGCUUUCACCUGAGGGGCGGGGUAUAACAUUUUUCUUAUUAUUAAUUCCCCCAGACUCCAAAACUUUAUUCAGUUUCACAUAACAGGAAUCACAUACACGAUAAGGUUUCCCAGGAUUUGGAGCUAAUGCCGCUCUCAAAGCCUUUCUAGAGCUGCAUGAAUGACAGUGUACAAGUCCACAGUUGUAACAAUUGUGCCUCUUUCGAGUAAAUCCAAAAGCCUGUCUACAUGCUGAACACUGAGACUGCUCUGCACCUGACACCCAUUUAUGGUGACAUAUGGCAGCUGUGAAGCUUGAUCCACAAGCAAUAUGCUUGACUGCUCUGUCCUUUAAAGCUUCAACAAGUGUAGGUGUUUUACGAUCCUCAAGGUCACCAUGUCCCAAUCUUCCAUUAGCUCCCUUACCCCAUGUGUAAACUUCACCUGUGGCUGUCAAGACCGCAACAUGAUACGAACCACAAGCAACCUCUCCAACAGAUUCACCAACUAGCUUGUCUUCAACUAAGCAUGGAAACUUUCCAUCAGACUGGGGAUUGCCGAGCUGACCAUAAACAGUACUUCCCAUGGUGAAAACAUGUCCAGAGGUGGUCAAGCCAAUUGUAAGACUAUGACCACAGGCUAACUUAUGAAAAUUGUAAUCAAUUAGAGAGGCUACGCAAGUGGGCUCAAGUCGUGGCUCCUUAUCACCAUGGCCUAGGCGAUACUUGUCUCCAUCACCCCAAGUGAAUAAUUUUCCAGACGAUGUGCUGGACUGUGUCACAAUAACGUCUACCACUGCAGCAGUAUGCCAUACACCACAUGAAACAGCAAUUGUUCUCAACCCCAUCAAAGAUUCUACUUCCUUUGGAUAUAAAACAGUUUCUCGGUUUCCAUGCCCCAAGACACCAAAGGUACCAUCACCAAAUGUAAAUAACUGUCCAGCUGUUGUAAUCAAGGCCGUAUGCCACGUGCCGCAAGAAACAAAAGAGACCUGAAGCCCCUCCAAAGGUCCUGAAAUUCUUUUAGGUAUCCAGUGACAGGCAUCAGUGCCAUGACCAAGAAGUCCUGCAUUAUGGGUGCCAUCUCCCCAAGUAAAAAGUUCGCCGGCCAUAGUAAGUGCACAAGUAUGGAACUCCCCACAGGCAACAAAGUCUAUAUUACAGGCUGAUAAAGAUUCGACAAGCCGAGGGUGAACAAUGUCGGUCCGAACUCCAUGGCCAAGGCGUCCACCAGAUUCUUCACCCCAUGUAAAUACUUCUCCCUGCCUUGUAACAAGGGCGGCAUGCCUGACACCACAGGCCACAUGGUGAAUGUCCAGCAUUACAUUGGACUCUAAAGGCUUCGGCAGGAGGAUGUCAGUUCUUGCACUGGAAGGGAUAAUACCUCUAUCAGUGCCAACCCUGCCAGAACUGUCACAUAUGACUUCGCCCCACACAUAUACAUCCCCAAAAGCAUCACCGUCAUCCUGUGCAGAGCCAUGACUAGAUGUGCUAGGGGCACUAGAUACACUGACUCUAAUAUCCGAAGAAGCUCCUUUUACUUGCAUACUUGUCGGAUGUGAUCUUUCUGAAUAUACCAAAUUUUCAAAGGAAUGGUCUUUGGGUAAACUAAUGGUAUUUAUCUUGCUCUGAGGACUAUCUAGUAUGGUAUCGGUACACUUGUAAUCUAAAUAGUUAGAUAUCAAGUCUCUACCAUCCUGUAACAAUAUUCCAAGCAACCAUACAUCAAAAACAUGACAUGCUAUUAAGCGGAUAACAAGAUUCAUGUUACAUAAACAUGAUAUGAAGAAAACUACAGUAAACAGAACUAAGAAACACAGUUUGAGCAUAGAACAGCCUAACAANNNNNNNNNNAGAUCUAUCAGGAAUAAAAACACAGAAAAGUUUUUGAUUUUACUGCACAAUAAAACAAGAUUCCAAUGUACAACAAUUAAUGAUUCUCAUGUCCUAAACAAGCAAUGAUUACGUUUGAUGUCCAUAGCAACGGUAACACUUAUAUUAUCAGCUAAAUUCACAAUACAUGGAUAAGCUAACUAAAAAGUCAAAAGAUAUAAUCUUAAUGAACUCCUGAACCCUUGGGUAUGGAUUUUAAAUGGCACUUUAAUAAACUAUAGAAACAUAGCAAACUCUAGCUUAAAUAAGCCAAGCUGCUUAAAGAAACAAGACGUUGUUAAUUCAGAACACUCAUGCAAGCAUAUUAGUGAGCAAAUGCCAAGCAUUUUGCAGUAAUCUCCCAAAUUACAUUGUUUUGAUACAUAUAUUGUUUUCUGUCAUAAGAGAUAGGUAAAUCCCCCUGACUAUUAAUAUACUUCAUGGAUUUAUCUUACUUCGUUGCAAGUCAUAGUUCCUGGUGUAGUACAUCAAUUAUACAGAGCAGGGAAACUUAAUGGUCCAAUUUCCAACAUGCAUAUUCAAUUGUGGUUUACAAGAACCACCCAUUUGAGUUGGUUUAAGUUUUCACUUUGCAAAUUUUGAUACAAAAUGUGUUGAGAAUGCCAGUGAAUGUAAUAAUAGUAUUCUUGUCUGGUUAGAAAUGUAAUAAUCAAGGUUUAAAUUCUCGGUAUCAGUAUCUUAUGCAUGGAAAAAACCAAUGUUUAAACUUGUUGGUGCCAGCACAGCAGAAGGGGGAUGUCAUACCAUCUGUUGGUACUUUGUACGGUACAUAACUAAGGGGCAUACUGGUGCCAAUACCUUACCAAUAUGAUACAGUAUGAUCAGCACAAGACUAGUGAUAUGGUACUUCCAAGUUCGACUCAUGGUAAUAACAGUACUCAUAUCAAUACUAUAAAGUAAUGUUAGCAAGCUAGGCUACCAAUUGUAAUAACUCUGAAGUGAAAAAUUCCAAACUUUCUAAAACUGGAAAUUUAAAGUGAUUUAACAAGCAGACUAAUAAAUGCAAGGCUCUCUGAAAAAACUAUCUAGAACUAAAGCUAACCUGAAAUAGCUGCAGACACCUAAGUGGUCAAGGUUAUGUCUGUUUUGAAACAAGUGUAUAAUUCAUAUCAUUUUUAAAUUAAAGUACAAACAUGAUGCAGAAGCUAACAAGCGUAACUUGUAUCGAUUAUAAAUAAUAGACUAAGAAAAUAAAUUUAGUAGCUAGGUCUGCUUUACAGAUCAAGUUAAUAUAGUUCAAGAACACUUUAAGACCAACUCUUGAUCUAAAAAUUUUUCUUUGAUAUCGUACUAAAAAUACUUGAGCAAGAGAGGCGAUAUCACAAAACCCAAGACACUUGAACAAGUAGGUAUGCCUAACUUGCUAGUUAGAAAACUCAAGUACAUAUAACAUGAAACAACAUAUUUAAGCUUUGAACAUCUUAAUCAACCAACAUAGAACUGCUUUUGUCAAUGUAGUUGGAGAUAAUAACACAACCUAGGGCACGGAAAUUUGAAAUGACAAGUAGAUACAGAGCCAAUAGAACUGCAUUGGCUUAAUGUCAUAAUAAAUCAUGACAUGAUAGUGCAACCAUUAAAAAAUAAUAAUGCAGCAUAAGGCAAAUCAUUUACAUCAAAAGAAAAUCCUCCAUCACUCCGUCCAUCUAUCUUUGAACGCCCAUAUUGGCCCGAGGAAAUCAAUGCCUUGAGGCCUGCAAACCACAGCUCUGCCUCAACUUUAUCUUUGCAUAUCUUUUUGACAAUGAUGAAAUCAAGUUAGUCAGAAAGACAAAAAUCAUUAAAAAACAAGAAUAACAGAAACCUCAAGAAAAAGUAUUGGUACUAACCAGAUCAAGAGACCGUUUUUCAUUGUUGUAUAUAAGUGAGAAGGACUGGUAGUCUUUGUCAGGACACGGGUAUCGUUGAAAAACAGACUAAAAAGUAAAUCAACGGUAAAUAACAAUUCACUCCACAAGUCAUUGCAAAGCAGCAUAAUAUAAACAUUAUAUAGAAAUUUAAUAAGUGAGUGAUUAUGGAGAUGAUCUCACAGUUCUUUGUCCUGAGAUAAUUCUUGAAACAGAAGCCAACUUCAAACUUUUUUCUCCACUACUUGAAAUCCAAAUCAAAGAAGUUUCAUCCUGUGAUGCAUGGAACAGGACUCCAGAUGUCAGCACAUAGCAAUGCUCUCUAAUAGCACAGAUAUGAUUUGCAGAUAGAUGCCCCAACAGUUUACUUGCCAUGGAGUCAUGCUAUCCCAAUGCAUAUGUUUUAGAAUCCAUUCAUGGUUCUGAUCAGAAAGUCUCGAUACAGAUUUAUUUGCAUGACCAAGAAUAGAGUUUUGAAUUUUGAACGUCUAUCAUCCCUUAUAACUGGUCGCUAUCUGCAUUGAAGUGGAUACUCAGUAUCUGACCAAUUCUUUUUCUGUUUUUGAUAGAGAGUAUCUGACCAAUACUUCAUUACACACAUCUUGUUGUGCUGAGCCAAUUUUUGCUGACAAGCUACAACAACAGCACAAACUUCCACUUUACAAGCCAGAUCUAAGAGCAGCUAAGCAUAUGGCAGGGAUAUCAAGCAUAGAGCAGGGAUAUCUUUAAUGUGUUUUCACCAAAUAGCAUCUAAUGCAAUUUACACCAUCGUAGAAAGCUAGAAAACAUAUUGUUUGUCUUUAUGUUUUAAGCCAAAGUCAAGGAAUUAAACAUUAACCCAAACAGAGAAACAUGGAUCUACCAAAGUCAACAAAAAGGCAAGGUCUAGGCAGCCCACCUACAUUAUGCAAACUUCCAGACCAUGAUUGAAUCAAUAAUGUUAGAGGCUUGAACUUCUAUAGAAAUAUAAAAAAUUAAAAACCAAAUUGAUAUGCUAAUGUGAAAGAAAAAAAACUGGGAAAUCUGCUUGAGCUUUAAAUGAUAUGCAGACAAAUGGUCCAAAUGCCCAUUAACCAGAUAAAGUGCACAUGAAUAUGACAGAAUGUAAUAUAAUUAUUUUUCAGCUAAUUUGCUCGUAUAAGAAGUUUGGUAGCAAACUCACAUUGGAUAGUCUGAAUGGGUAAAACUUUGGCUUCCCUUUACGACCAUAUUUAAGCAACAGAGUACCCUUCUUUAGAGCAACACGUACCUAUAAAAAUAGAAAGCCAACAGUAACAAAAGUAACAAUUUUCCAAUGGCCCUAGUCAGAAAGCAUCAGAAUAAGGUAGAGAAUGAAAAGCCAUGAACCUUACUUAUAAGCAUGCAUUUUUACUUAUUGACAAGCUAAGUGUUCCUAAACAUGAACAUAGUUUUAAACAUCUUGAUAAGCAAGUGAAUUGUUACGCAAGAGUAUUUUUUUUUAGUUCUGGGUCUUUGACUAUUGAAAAUUAAAACCAAAAGCUCCAUUCCUAUCAGCAAAAGCAUCUGCAGUUAACUUGAACAGUUUCCAUACGUCAAAGGAAGAAGGAAAUUUAGAAAAAGAAAGAGAAAAAGCAAAAGUUAAGUAGAAUAUGAUAAACAAAAAAAAUGGAAAUAUCAUAAAAUUAUAGUAGCAAAGCAUUCGUGAUGAACAUAAAUACUCCUAUCAGGUCCACGUUCUACCAUGAAUAUGUAAAUCAACUUGUAACAAAUAAUAGGAGACUACUUCAAGCGAUGAUGGUACCAUACUUUUACAUUCAUAGCUCUUAACUGCUAAAUAUGUUUUGUGCUCUUCUAAUUCUUCCCAUGAUGAUACUGCUUUCUUUUGGUGUGUUUUGUGUAGCUCUACUUACACAAGUACAAGUCUUACUUAUGUAGACAAAUGCUGUGAAAGGGGAAAAGGCAUAAAGUGAGGAUUCUAUGACCAACUAUUCACCAUCCAUAUCUUGGUGUUAGAUUGUUAGACAGUGCUAGUCAAAGGAAAACAAGGUUUUAUCAGUAUGAAGCACCCACCGAGAUGAUAUAAUUGAUAUUUUGGCCACUGUGAUCUCACCAUUGUAUAAAAUAUGUUUACAUAUAUCGGCCAAGUGUAUGAAUAUCAUGCACCCAACAGCGUGAUACAAAUGAUAUCUUGGCCCUUAAAAUCUCAAGUAGUGAAUACCGAUAUAUUUUGAUUUAUCAGCUGAUGUGAUAUAUUAAUAUGUUGGCUGAUAUUUCCUAAGCAAUAUACUACAAAUUUAAAUUAAUUUUUUUGAUCAUUAAAUAUUCAAAUUAGUCCUCUGAUACAACAAGUAAUUUCGGAUUUGCCAUAAUGGCUGAUAUUCCGAUAUCUCGGUUCCUAUAAUAUUGGCUGAGAUAUUGGGAAAUCUUGGGAUGUGCCAGAAUCCAGAUCUUUCCAAUUCUCCCGAGCUAUACUUCUCGGCCAACAUAAACCAAGAUUUUGGUUAUCUUGGUAUCAGCCACCCACCUAGAUGGCCAACCUUACCGUUUUCAGAAACCUUGGAGGAAAGGGAGGACCUAUCUAGCUAGAUCACUUGCCACAGCCACUUAACUUUUAGGGAGCCUUUUGUGCUGGUUUUGAGAUCUCAUGAAGAAGGGGUCAGCACUCAGUGGUGUCAAUCCUCGAGUAAUGUGAUAUCAUGCUCCCAUUAGCCUCAUUUUCCAUAUUUAUCAGGCUCAUGCCUUCAGUUCUCGGAAAUGGUGGCAGUCAUAGAACUAGUCUACCGCAUAAUCUACCAUCUCUGUUCAAGUCUUUUGCAUUUGGCCCCACAAAAGCAAGUAAUCAAAGAGAAAUACAGAGAAAAUUGAAACUUUAAUUGAAAUCUCAAACUGAUCACCAGCAUUUCCAUGGAUUUCUCCAUAUUUAAUCCUUUCCACAAUUUUAUCUCAAGAAGCAACAUUCGCGACCGCUCCACACCACAAUGGGAUUAAUAGAUAGUAGCAGUCCGAUAUCGCACAAAUCACAGCACAAGAGUUAGUCCUAAAACAACCAAUACGAGCUCCAUUACCUGCAGUUUAACUAGCCUCAACAGUCAAAACCCAAGAAUCCUCCCUUUCUUCUACAAAUUCAUCGAAUAAAACACCCGGCGUGUUUCCAAAGCAGUAAUCUAACCAAAAACAGCAAGAAAAAGAGGAUCCAUGGGAGAAAGGAUGUGCUUCGCUCACCUUGUCGAUGUCCCGAUCGACACCCCCGUAGUCAGAAGGAUCUGCCAUUCCAUGUGAGAGCCCCUCGCAAGCGCCGCCCGCAUCGAACUCGCCCCGGCGCUCCGGUCGUCAUCGAUGGCCGCCGAUCCUUCGCCGGACUCUCAUCAAUCUCCGGCAACGGAGAAACUCCACCACAAACCCUAGAAAUCGGGAGGACAGCACGAGAGCGAGAGAGAGGAAGAAGGAGAGGGAAGAGAGGGGAGGGGCGGCAGUAAUCCGACCACGGAGCGGGGACUUCGGAAGGCGGCGGCGGGACGCGAGGAAAUCGGAAUACGGGGUCCCCGGGGGUCGGGAAACCGCGAGGCAGCCGACGGGAGGGUAGGGAAGUGGGUGAACGGAGGAGGAGCGGUCGCGGCGGAGGACCGGAUCUAAGUUCCCUGGCCGAGUCCGUAACGAUACGGGUCAGAGAAGAAAGCAUAAAUACCCCUUUGACGGGGAGUAGAAUAAUCGCAACGAGUCGUUAGGGUCACCGCAGUGGCGGCAGCAGACGUUACUUGGACGGGUGGGACGGUGUACGUGGAAAUUUCUCGGUGUUCCGCCGGUGUAACAUUACGUGGUUGAGGGUUCUUUUUUGUUUUUUUUGCUCGGAGUGGUUUAGGGUUCUUUGCCGGUUGCCAUAUUAAGUAGAUAUUUUAGUUGUGAUAAAUUUUUUUUGGUUCAGAUCAUUAGGCCAGUUUUUCUAGAGAAAUGUUGCAUCCCUCGUUAUUUUGGCCACUUCAUUCCCCAUUUGGUAUGAUAGUAACAUGGCCCAGAUGUGGCAUCAUGGCAUUGGCAUUAGGGGGCGGCAAUUUAUAAUUUGACUCAUGAACGAUCCGUUUUAAGUAGGUUUGGAUUUGACAUAAACGGAUUUUGGUCCUAAAUGGGUCAACCCAUCUAAACCUAUUUAUUAAAUAGGUUGGGUUCAGGUUUAAAUCUUUGACCCAUUUAACAUAUUUGGACCAGUUGAAUAAUUGGAUCGAAUUAUGACUUGACCUAUUUAACUUAUUUGAAACUUAUUUAACCCAUUUCUAAUAUAUUUAACCCAGCCCACUUAAUCUAUUUAAUCUUUUUAAAUUCAUUUAAUCUAUUAAAAAUCCGUUUAACAUAUUUAAUCCAUUUAAUCUGACUUGACUUGUUUGAUAAAUGGGUUAUGUAGAUAGGGUCGAAUUACCUAUUUAAUAAAUAAGUCGGAUUUAGAUUUGAAAUUUUGACCUAUUUAAUAAAUAGGUCGGAUUUGGGUUGAUAAAUUUUUGACCCGAUCCGUAUCCACCCCGAUCUAUAUCUGAUCCAACUCGACCCGAUUGCCAACCCUAUUUGGCAUUUAUUUUAGUACGAGCAGUGAUGAACACAAUGGCAUGUUAUAGCAUUAGCUUAGUUGGUCUUAUUGGGGCUAGCAAAUGCCAAACUAGAUUAUAUUUUGUUCCGCUAUCUUAAACGAUGAAAUAGCAAAAUCUAAUUUGGCCCAAAUUGCAGCCUAACUUGUCAAGCUUUUGCUGGCAAUAGAAAUGUUGCAAUCAAAUGAGAUUGAUGCCUUGGGGGCAAUGAAUAUACUUUGUGUUAUUUAUUUUUUGCUUUUCAUAAACUGGACACACUAUAAAGUUGUAACAUGGAUACAGCCCAAAGCAUUAGCAAAAGCUAAAUCAUUUGUGGCAUAUUUGGUUGGGUGGAUUUGGGCUCUAAAUGGAAAUAGGAAUGAGUGGCCCCACCCCAGCUAUUUAAUUGAAGAGAGUCUUAUUAACAUUCCAUUCCAGGAGGGAUGGGAAUGCCCCAAUCCUCCAAAACCUAAUUCCGACUCUCCACCUAGAAUUCAAAUCCUAUUCUCCAGGUUUACUUUAAACAACUGAUUUUCCAAAAAUUUACAUAAAAAUAUUUCUAUUCUGAUUCCAAUUCUAAAUACCAUUUCAAUCUGUUUCGAUUCCAAUUCUGGUCACGGAUCAAACACACCCUUAGUUUCUUCAAUUCUCACGGUAAUUUCUUCACAAAGUUAACAAUCUCAUUUAUGGCAUUUACAUUGAAUCAAGCAUAGCUACAUACAAGGGUAGUGUGUUGCCACAUGGUCUCUCUAGGUUACAACCUAAUAUAUAUAAAGUAAUAGAUUGGUGAGGAGAUAGGUGGCCAAUGAAGAUAGGAUGCAUGGCUCUCAAAAGCUCGCAUCAACUUCAGUAAAGGUGCACUAAAGCAGUGGCACAUGGGUGCUGUUUUCUAAUAUGAGGGUUUUAAAAGACAACCGAAAUUCUUUGUCUCGUUGUUCUACAAACUUGGAUAUUUUAAGGUUGUUGAGAAAUAAUAGUUCUACAUCAAAUAGAUUAAGAACUUUUGUGGAAAUUAUAUACUCUUGGAUCCAUCCAUCUAAAUACCAAGAUUUUCAAAUAGGAUCUUAACAUGGUAUCAAAGCUCACCGGUCCUUCUUACCUACCAAAACAUUCACGCUCCUACAUAUUAAUUCACAUAUCAUCUCUUCUUAGGUUAAGAACUCCUAUGGUGCUUAUUUCACUACCUCCUGGAUGUGCUCCAGAAAGGUGCUGGACAUCUCUCAAUUCAACUUAAACAAUAAUAACCUAACUACAUGGACUCUUGAUCCACAUUAUGUUAGAAGUUUUAAUCUUUGUAGUCCUCUCAGCACGCCAGCAAUUAAGAGGCGUAUGCCCUCACUGGACUAAGUAAAUAGCCAUUUUACUUCUUCAUCAUGAAGGAGUAAUAAAGUAUUAUUUUUAAUUAUCACUUUGUCGUUAUCUCAUUAAUAGUUGAAAUUAACCUCCCUAAUUCUAUGAGAAAGCAAAAUUCUCAACCAUAAGGCAAUACAAAGAUAUCCAUAGUUGUGUACCUGUUGUCGGUCCACGCUUGCUAUCUAUGCCAUUGCCGGGUUUCCAUGUGUCGCAUGAGCGGGUUGUGAUCAUGUUAAAUAGCUGUAUGCAUGUUGGCCGAUCAGAGGGUCAGCACCUUCCUGAUCAAUAAGUAUAACCUUGAAAAGAUCAGUCUAUAGAGAUAACCAAAUGGCCACAAGCAUUGUGUUCACAGAGCCAUUAGUCUGUAACUUCUCAAAUAAGGAUGAUUUGUCCGACUACAUUGCAUGACUUCCAUUUUACUGGUCUAAUGGAUUUAUCAGGUGCUGAAUGCUAAACAUAAGAAUUGCAUAAAGAAAUCUACCUAGUCUAGCUUAAGUAAGGCCUAAGAUUGGGCCUUUUAAUUCAUAUUCUCAAGUGUGACUACAUGAUUUGAGAAUCGCAGUUUGGCUAAUAAAAGAGGCGCAAAGAACUCAUGCUCAAUAUUGGCUAAUGAAACAAUAGAAAUUUGAGUCAUCAAGGCAGCACCACCUUUCAGAUAAUAAGGGUGUUGUUUCAUAUUGCAACCAGUAAAUUGUUUGUGCAGUAUAUGAACGAUAACGAUGAUCGUUGAUGUCAAGGCCAAAUUAGGCCAUAUUAUCGUGUAAAAUAUUUCUUUCAACUGAUGCUCCUCGUCAAUCUCCAUUGAUCAAAUAGAAGUGUAAAGCCUUUUACUUCUUGAACAUCCCUCACCCGAUUCAUAAACCAUUACAGGAAUAUUUUUUUUGCAGACGAUCUUGACAACAAACUCUUUUUUUUUUUAUAAAAUCAGAUUUUAUUCAUACUAAUCUAAAAAAAAAUACAUCUAUAUGAAUCAAAAAAUAAAAUGCAUGAAAAAUCAAAAUAAAUGUCUGACACAAUAAUCCGCAACAUCGUUUCAGUGUAAUUAGCAACCUAUAUCUCCAUCCAAUCAGCAGUGCUAUUAACUUCUUGAAAAAUAUGCAUCACCUCAUAAGUAAAUAGUGUAGAAGCCAUUCUCUAAUAGUUAUGUAAUAAUGGUUGUGAAGUCUCAGAACUUGAUAGAUUUGAUAACCACCUAAUUGCCAUCAAAAAAUUCUAUUCAAGAAUAAUAUGGGAUGCCUCAAGGUAUUUCAUCGCAUCCAGUAAACUUUCGCAAGUAGUACACAAUUUUGUUAUUAGUGCUAUUACAACAAAAAGUUUAAUUCCAUCUGCCACCAAUAAUUCACCACUUGAACUUCUAAUAACAAAGGUGGAUCCUCUCAAAAAAAAAAUAGUCGGUCGAGAGAAUAUAAACUUCGCAGCAUAGGAACCAUUAUUUUUCCUUGCUAUCAAAGAUUUUUUUAAAGCAGCUGCGCAAAUAAAUUUUUGGGCCGGAGAAGCAUCUCUCAUCAAAAUCAAUUUAGGACACAAUGAGAGUGAUGGCUCUCAAAAAAGUUGAAGUCGGUCUGAGAGAAUAUAAACUUGGCAGCAUAAAACUAUUGUUUUUCCUUGCCAUCAAAGGUUUCUUUAAAGCAGCUGCGUAAAUAAAAUUUUGGGCUAGAGAAGCAGCUCUGAUCAAAAUCAGCCUAGGACACAGUGAACUCUUGUAAGGAACGGUGGAAGAAGACAUCACAAUGUUGCCUAUUUUCAUCAUAUUACUUUGAGGUGCAGGUUUUUCCAACGUGUUCCGCUAUCACUAGCCUUGUUAUCCAAAACUAAAGUUUUACCUGGUGCACGUGGAGAACCCACACCUUUAGCUUUGAUGGGCCCCAAAAGUAAUAUUCUAAUACCAAAGAACCAUACGUGAUGAUUGAUUCCGGUUGGCGGGGGUGGGUUUGCGGCGAGGAGAUGCAACGAGGAAAAAGCAUAGUUUCAAAUAACAUUUCAUCACCAUUGUCACAUCAUAACGGCAAACCUUCCCUGAAGCCAUCAUUACUACCAUUAUGUAUCUAAAAAUUGUCUCUUUCUACUUUUUAUAUCAAACUAAUUGUUGAAAUAAUGGCGAGCUACAGGAGAACAAUGGAUGGAAAAAUAACAAUCAUUUUAGGAGAGAAAUUUUUUAAAAGUUUUUUGUUAUCAUAAUAGAUCAUUAUCUUAACAAAUAAUAGCAUGUAAUAAAAGAUAAUAACUAUAAUAACUAUAAAGCUGUUAUUUAAUAUAUAUAUAUAUAUAUUUACGAAGUAUUCUAUGAUAAUUGAUAGUUAUUAUUAUCAGAUGGAUGGCCAUCAAAUAAAAUAAUCUUAUGCUAUAUAGAUAAUCUUUUUAGAUGUUUAUCUUUGGAUGACGAUACCAUACACCAUUAUCCUAUAUCUUAUUAAUGGAUGGUAUGAAAAAAGUAGGAUCUAGAUGGGCAAUUGAUAACUAAAUUUUAUUUUUUAUCAAAUAAAUGUUACUUCAUUUUCUCUUUUACCGUAAUUUAGAGAGAUGGCCGUUCAUCUGAAAAUAAGCAAAAAAAAUAUUUUUUAAAUAAUAGCUUUAUAAGCAUCCGGCAAAAUAGCAUAAAAAUAUUAUAGUUAUUAUCUUUUAUUAAACGCUAUUACAUACGCAUGAAAGUCAUGGAUUUUUUUUUCUUACGUAAAGAACGAAUCUACUGUGGAGGACAGAAGGGUGACGUAACGAGCAGAGGUUUGACUGUUGACCGCCGACAUAUCCCAUCGGUGUAUCUGUCCCGGCUUUUUGUCUUUGCUCAUCUCGUGGACAAGAGUCCGAUUCCGGACGCAGCACAACUGGCUCUGAUGUAACAUGUCGAAGUGCGGAUCCGGGGUGCACGGAGACAUGAUGUUAUGGUGAUUUGACCCACUGCGAGCCAUCCAAUCAUCAUCAGAUGGGUCCCGAUCGUGCGGCCUGGUGAUGGCGAAAAGUUUGAUUUUCCGCCGCGGCAGCAUGAUGUUUUUUGAUAAUUUCCGAGUCCUCUUGAUUCAUGACAUCCACCAAUAAUGGAGUGAAAUGUCGGAAAAGCUGAGCAAAUCCUCUGCUCACUCGGAAAAAUCACUCCGAAAAGUCACCAUAGCUGCCUCGCACCAUGCACUCUGUGCUUCAUCACAUGGCACAAUUCACAAUGCCAAUUCGAAAACAGGAGCAAGAGACCACAAGCCAGAUGAGUGAUUUUUUGAGCCACAAAUCUGGGUUACAAACGUUUUUGUGCAAUAAAUAGAAUAUGUGAAAAAAAUGCACUCAAUGUUGCAUUGUUGCACACAUGUAUUUAUUCAAGAAGAAAGCAUUAGUUGUUAAAUUUUUCUAUCAAUUUGUAAGAGUGGUGUGGAGGAAUGUCUUCAUUGAAAUAAGAGUAUAUAUGUAUGUAUGCAUGUAUCGUGCUGAUAUCAAAUGUUUCUAACAAAAGGGGGAUAAGGAAACAUGAAAUUAUGGAUAAAAUUCAAGUAGAAUUUGCACUAUAACCCGUAGCAUCGGUUGGUGUGGCACCAGAAAUGCUCAUGUUAUCAUAGACUGGUAUAUUCAUGGGUCGAUGAUAUGCAUGCGAAAAGAUAAAAAUAACUUUAAAACUCAGAAACUUGGAUGCGCGUAAGAGUAAUUGUUUGUAUACCUCAACACAUACCAAGAUUGGGUUUUGUGAGAAAAUUGGGUGUAAAAUAGACAUUUUGGGCUCCAAAUGAACUAAGAACUCCUUGUCUAUGACAUAGCAAUGAUGUAUGCAUACAUAUCAUUAGGGCCAAUCAAGAAACUGAAUUUACUUGCUCAUGAGAUAUUAUACAUUAAUAAGAAUAGCUGAGGGGUCAAAGGAAAAAGAAAGAAAUGCACAUUGAAAAUUAUGAUAUGGUUGUUGCUCCACUAAUCACAAAGUUUUUUCAAGAUGCAAGCUCCACUUUGACAAAGUGAUCGCUAAUAUGCCUAAAACUUUUGGUUUAUAGGUCCACGGCGUUCUAUGAUUCUUUCAGCAAUAUUAUCCUCUAGCAUUUUCUCUUGAGACGUUCCAUUGCAUGGGAAACGUCACAAAGAUAAGCGAGCUGGUAAACAAAACUCUAAAAUGAUCUCAAUAUAUAAAAAUAAUGCUAUGGUGACAAUUUAUAUGACAAAAAUUUCUUUCAACAAUAAAUACCACCAUUAGAAUGUGGUGCUCAUCUCUCCCCAUUUUCUAAAGAAAGCGUUGAGAAAUUUUAAUGGAAUGCUCACCUGUAUAUAAAAAUUACAAAUGUUCAAAAACAUCAUAGUUUUCAUAUUUUCCAUUUUUCUUAUAUAUCUCUAUAAAAUGGCAUGAAAUGGUUCCUCUUUUGUAAAAUCCACCCACUUUUUGAAUACCUGCUCAAUACUCCAGGAUACAUGUGAUGGAAAAUAAUUCGCAGCAUGAUUCAGAGUCUACUGGAUUCCACUUUCAUGCCUUCAAGUUUGUUGGUAGCCAUGAGUUCAAAUCAGUGCAAGAGUGUGAGUACUAGAGCUACGUGGGUAGGCUAACUGCUCUGCCCACAAGAUUUGUCAAUGAGUGGGUUUCAAUUAAGGCCCACACAAGCCCAAUUUGCAAACAGUUGGAUUUGAGCUGUGUGAAAAGUACAAGGUCUUUUUAGCAAAAAAAAGAGAGUAUAAGGUCUAUUUCACAGCUAGACAAGUAUAUUUACUAAAAAACUCACACCAAAACCUGAUUUACGAGAAGAAUAAGCAUUGAAGAGGCAUAGCGGGGGGGAGAGGGGGAGUGGGGGAAGGGGAGGGGAGAAAAAAUUGGAUUAAAGUUCUCCUUAAUUGUUCAUAAAACCACCAAUCCUCUUUUUAGUACAUGACAACCUCUCAUUUGUUUUCAAGUACGAAGAGAGCAAAUACUAGCCCAAAAACUCUUUAUUAAUAUCAUAAAUUAGAUUUGUGUCUAAUAAUCAAAUUGAUCACAAUGAAUAUCCACGCGUAAAAUUUGUUUCUUGAUGGUUUUAUAAAAAUCAAAUCUAAAAUCUCUGGUUACCAAGCAAAGGGGUAUAAACACUGGGUUUUCCAUUAGAUGUUUUAAAUGCUUUAUGGUUACAAUCCCAUUCUUAACCAUAAUUUUCAGUUUAUACUUUUUUUACUGUUCUCUUGCAUCAAUUUCCCCUGAUGGCAACUAUUGGGAAGAGUUAUUUAGCUAUCAUAACUUGGAUAAGCAUAAUUGGUAGGUAUUACACAGGAAAAAUCAUCAAUUUCAGCAAAGUGAACUUACCCCUUGUAUUUCUUCUCCAGCUUAUAUUUCCUCAAGCGAGAUUCUGGAAAAGACAGAAAUAGGAAGACAUGUAUCCAAAAUGAACAAACUAUAGGUACAAACUGUAAAUGCUAGUAACAGGCAAUGGGCUUUUACCUUAUCAAAAAGGAGAUCCCGAUUCGCUCUCAGAUACAGGACCAGACUCCCCAAAACAAAAUAUUUCAACAGAUUAUUUCACUGCUUCCAUGCAAUCUUUCUGUAAAUCUAUACAUUUUUUCUCCCUUUUUCAAUCUUUCAAGCUGGAAACAGAGACCUCUAUCAUGGUCAUCCUAGGUCUUCCCUAAACAGGGAGUGCCCAUAUAAAAAUACAAGAAAGAUACUUCGGCUUACAAAUUCCAACAUUUGUAAGCUGUAACUGUUCUGACAUUUGCAACAAGCCAUUGAAGUCUUUUUCUACAAUUCAGUUAUCAAAGCACUGGUAAAUAUUGUCUGCAUUGUCUGAAGUGAUCCGACAAAUGUAAAACUGGCAUCAACAUAUUCAUCCAUGCCUAGCCAUCAUGUUAUCAUAGUAUAGCUGUUUUAGCAUUUUACGCAUGGCUGAUUCUAAGAUCUGGCAGCUUCUCAGAGGUUCAAAAGGUUUCUAUACAAGCAUGAGUCAGAUGACGAUGAUGCCAAGUUCGCAGAUGGAUCAUACAUGUUGCAGACAUAAAUCUAGCAAGUCAAGAAUGGCAAACUGAAAAAUAUACAAUACUCUACGGUCUUAUCAAUACUUGAGGUCUUCUGUAGGUUUCAGAUAUAAUAGAAGCUUGUACAUCACAUGCCCAUCUGGUUCAAGUACUUCGGUGUCCUUCAUUGGCAUUUGCAGACCUUAUUCAGAGCAUCAAAAACAUUCUGAAGAUUUGUGUCUUGGACAAUCACGACUUUUUCCCUGGAUUUUGAACCAGAACCAAUAGAUACCUGCCUUUUCUUCACUCCUAAAACCUGCAUUUUAUACAUGGUCUGAGCUUUCAACAACUGGUCAGGCAAAUCGUAUAUUUGAUUAAUUUAAUAUUGAUAUAGUUCAAGGGAAAAACCCUCAUUGGAAUAAAAAGUAAAUUGUAGAUUAGGAUUGUGAUUUUUUUUCCUAGUUUUCAGAAGAAAUCGCCAUGGUGUUUUUAGGCUUAUGCGUGUUUAUCUUCCUAUUCAAAUAAACAUAUGAUUUCGAAUAGAAAAUAAAGAAUAGUGAAGCUCAUAGUUCCUGCAAAUACUGGAUAUCACAUCUGAAGCCACUUCGGGGAUUGCAGCAUCAUUUGUUAACAUGAUUGUAUUUUAUCUUGUUACUCCUAAUGUUCUACAGUUUUCAUGGUUCCAUUAACUAAUUCUUGUGCUUCAGAAAAGUUUCAAAGACAUGCUGUUAGGAUUGAUUAGGAUUGUCAACUGAGAGCUUGGGAUGAGAUCUUGCACAACUCAACCUGCUUAAAUGGAUUCAAGCAAGUAGCAAGAGUACAGAAAGGACGAGAAGCAGGCAGUGAUAUGCGUAGCUGGGUGGGAAUCACAAUGCUGGAUUGCAGCAUCAUUUUGUCAACUUGCACUUCAUGUCAGUCUAUCUUGAUAUUAGUUCUCUGUUUUAUCUUUUUAAAUAUGGGUUAGAGCUCAGAAAUCAGAAAGUUUUGAAGAUUCAAACACAAAAGAAUACAUUACCAAAAAGGCCCUUAGAUCAGAUUUUUUGGAUUCCCUCCAUCUUUAUAACCUUUGUUGUCUUUGCUUCCCCUCCAACUGAUUUUCAAUAAAAAACCAUUGCAAGACAACUUUCAGUUUUAUUACUGCUUCAACGCAUUUGAAAUGUUUUUAUAUUGUUAUCUGUUUUAAGAAAAUGAGAACUUAAUUGUUUCAUUUUCCUUUUUUUUUCUCUUGUAUUAGUUUUUGUUUUCAUAUUUUCCAAAUUUUAUCUCAUUAACAGUAGUAACAAGCUUGUGUCACUAUUAUUGUCAUAGUAGAAAGUAGUAACAUACUGUGUUACUCCUACUAUCCUAGCAGAUGUAGAAGUGAUAUGAUUCAAGCAGAAGUCAUGCUUUAAUUAUUACCGACACACUUUUGGAUCAUGUAUGAUGGAUAAUUUAUUGACAACAUAUGCAAGUUUUAACUAGUAAUUGAAAUAUAUGAAGCCUAAAUUAUUUUGCAGAUAUUAUAUGAAUUUGUUGCCUCCGCGGUCAUCUAAUUGCCUAGGCUAUAGAAGGGUCCAUUACCUAGGGCUGCCAAGGCUAUUUGAAAAACAUUAAGUUGACCAACCAUGCAUACCUUUUAAACAUGAGUGCAGAAAAUCAAGUGAUGAAGCUUAAUUUAGCAAUCAAUAAUAGCUAUUUUAUCUUGUCAAAGCCUUAGCUUUGAUUUAAGAGAAGUAUAUCUAGUUCUUAGCUGCUUUAUCCAUUACUCUGGCUUCAAUAGAGGCAAUAUAGCCCACUGGUUGCGGCCCUCCUCCAGAAGGUGUUUCAGUCUAGGUUCAAACUCUAGAAGGUGUUUGACUCUUAGAUAAUAAUUAGUGGCAUUCUCAUUGUGGUUCUUCCGCAACCUGAACCCCACAAACCACACCCCCCCCCCCCCUCCCCCCAGGACGUCUAUCACAAGGUUACUCUUACACAAGAGUGGCAAAAUUUGGUGAGACUCGCCAACCUAGUGUUGCAGUCCAAGGACCACAAGGAGCAGUCAUGCACAUUCUCUUGGCUGAUCGUCACUGGCUAAAGAGAAGUCAACAUAGGCAGUUAUCACCGACCUCUUUCAGGCCAUUAGUUUGUCUAUUUUUGUUUUCUUUAGUUAUAGUAUUUUCAAGUUGUUAUUGGAAUUAUUUUGCUGAGUCUUAAGAGACUUUUUUAGAAGUUUCCCAUGCAUCAAUUUGCACUGCAUACAGGUGCCCCAUAUGUGAAUUUAUUUUUAAUUAAGAUUCCUAGAUGGAAUCAAACUUUGGGGAACUAUAAUAGCUGAACAUCCCUCUUAAAAUUAAAAGGAUUCGGCUCCCUUUUUUUCGAUCUUAACGGGGCCUGUUUGGAUGUCCUCAUAAGAUAUUCCAUAGAUAAAAUCUCCUCUAAACUAAUUCAAACAGAGACACUGCAAAAUGAAGGAAGAAACUCAACCCUUGAUGAAUCCGCUAAGCAUAAAAUCACGAAAAAAUCGGGAUUCAAUAUUGACUGUAAAAGGUGAUUUACAGUAUUUGCUGUUUUUUAGGAUUCUUAGUUCCUUAAUCAGCCCAAUAAUAGAAAUACUCAUUCUCUGCACCAUUUAACUUCCACUCAUCACCUUCCAUAUUAGAUUCCUAUGGAAUAACCAAAGCAUGAGCCAAAUAGACCCUAACAUCGCUCAAAAAGAGGGAUAUGACCAGAAUUAGUGGGGUGGGCUUCAUCAUUAUUUCCUCUUUUCAUUAUUUCUUGUUGAAAAAUGAUUCUGGGCACCCGCAGGUUGCACCCGAGAAGUUCAUCAGGCCCAUAAUGGCCAACUUAGCAAUUCAACAAUCAGGGGAGCCAUAUAGCAUUACUUUUUCUUGUUUAGGAGUCCUACUGUUAUAAAGAAAGGUGUCCAGCUGAGGCUAUCAAAAUAUAUUGACAUUGUGGCUGGCAAAAUAGUUCAAGAAGUUCAUUUUGACUUGAGCAACCACUGGCCUUCCACUGCGUCUUCUUCUCCAACUCUUCUAUUAUUAUCUCCUGUCUUCUACUCUUUUCUACUCUACUUCCCACUUUCUAUGCUUUAGCACUGCUGUUAAACAGCAGGUUCUUUCAGCAUAGUUAAAAAGCAGCUUCUGAAGUUGCAGGAUUCAAAUCUAAUUAGAGAUUUGAAUCAAUUCUUAGCUAUUAAUAUUAUAUGAUCCCAUAACAAUUCGGGGUUACAUCACUUGGCCAAACAAGCCAGAAAUAAACAAGGCUAUGGUGGAGAGUUUCUAUAAAUGGGUGAGUUUGGGUUACGUAAGACUAACUCGAUUAUAACUGGGUCAGGUUCAAUUUGGCCCUCAGACCCAACAAGUAGCCAUGGGUUGGGCAAACCUUGAAAUCUAGCCACAGCUCCCCAUGAUAGUUGUAUUAGUAUGGCAGGCCAUGGAUUAGUCAAGGCCUGGUUUUAGUGAGUAGGACAACAAUGCAGUUCAUGGUUAAGAACAAAACAUGAAAUACAAAAGAAAAAAGUGAAGAAGGAUAAUGCGAUCAGAAUUUUAUUGCACAGUCCCCACCCCCAUCCCUUCUUUAUUAGGAAGCCAACCCUAGGUCCCCUCUUCUUGGACCUAUUCAAUUUUCAUUUUAGAGGCAGAACUGACAAGUGCAGCCUAAUUGCGUUCCAUGCCGAGUAUGACACGAUAUAAAAUAAACAGGUUAAUUAUGGCCUAGUUUUUCAACUUGAUUAUAAUUGGGCAGCAUCUAGGUUAAGAUUUUUUUUUUUUUAAUUCAAACCUAAAGUCUGGCCCGAACCAAACCCCCAUUUCGCUUUCCAUCAUACUAUUUCAUGGUCAGAACACCUUAUUCCUCAAUUCUGUAGAUAUUGUUCAAACUUAAUCAUGAGUAAAUUUUGUUAUUAAGAUGGUUUCUACUAUUAUAGGUUUAUAGCCUUGCAUAUUCAUGGAGAUGUGACUUGGUUUAGCCUCAAUAUCUUCUAGGACCAACCUCAAUUGAAGCCAUCCUCAUCAACUCUCACUACCUCAAGCAAAAUGAUGUCCUAAGAUGACUUGAGUGUUAUAUUAGACAACUCUCUUGUGCUUCUUAAUAUUUAAGAAUUUUAAAUAAUCUAAAGGACCAAGGUUUGUAUUGUGUUUGACAAUGAAUAAGCACAAAUGGAAAUGAGAAAAAUAGCCACAGGUUUAGCCGAGACCUAUCUUAAGAAUCCAUGUUUAAAGGCCAAGAGAUUGCACUGGCUCAAGGAAAAAGGUCCAAAGAACUUCACAUGUGAUUGAUUUGAAAGAACCAAUCAUAAAGCAUUACUAGUAGAGAACCAAAAUCUACCAAUUCUUUUCGGCAAUCCAGAUUUCAUCUUAUUCUCCAAAAUCCUUUUAGUCAUAAAUGGAAGAAAUACUCAGAAGGACAUUGUCUACGAAAUAAAUCUCGCAGAUUUCAUAAGAUACUGCUAACACAAUGUUGACAUCACAGUAGCUAAAGAUGGAAUAUAGGAUUUGAUGGUGAAUAUCUGAAAUCAGAAUCAAUAGAGAUACCACCAAAUCCCCAUUGAUUUGAAAAUCAAAUUAUGGAGAUUUUUUUCUAUCUUUCCUUUCAGCAUUUUUGUGGAGAUAAUCUAUAAAUAAAUAUUCUCUUUUCAACUAUGACUGAAUGUAGACAUAAAAGAAAGAUUCAUAGGGAUUUUAGAUCUAUAAAUAGGGGUGCCUGGACAAGUAAAUACCACCUUAGGUUGAAUAAAAUUGCCAAUUAUUUUCCCCUCAUUGUAAGUUGUGGGUGUCAUUCUCAUUGCUUUCUUCCUCCUAUCUUGCUACUAUAUUUGUUGGGUAGCUCUUCUUCCUUUAUAGAGAGAUCAUCACAUGCACUUUAAAGUUUAAAUGAAUAUUUUAGUUCAUGGUACCCCUUGAACCACAUAAUAGAAGACCUAUAAUACAUCUACUCAUGCUAAUAGGAUUAUCUUCCGAGGUCAUCCAUUCUAGAAAGUCCUCAAUCCCAUAUAAAAGGUCAAUGCCUCCACUCCACCUAAAUUACAGUCAAAACUAUGUGCAGGCCAUGAAGUGCAAGCCUACUUAGCUGCACGAAAUCUAACACAUACCCUAAAAUUAAUGCAAUUACAUUAACAAGAGUUACUUUCAAAGUCGCCUUUUUGUGAAAAUACCGAUCCCAAAAUAUAAACGUAAAUGGCACCAUCUCAUUAGAUUCUCAAGCAACAUCUGUUGUGAGCUGAAAUAUCAACACUGUUGAGAAAUUAACCAUAACAAAAAAGUAACACCAUUGAAUUAUUCAAGGCAUGUCUUUGUAAAAGCCAUUUUGAUCAAAGAGGAGAAUGCAAGAAGAAUUAUGGGGAUUAUAAUGUUUGCUUCAUCAAUAAAAAUGUAAAACGACAAACCACUUCUUUGUCCAAAGUGAUUUCACCCAGAUGUCAAGGCUUAGCUCACCUUUCAGCUUUAGAACCACACAAGUAGAAAAUGCCCUUAUGAUCAAGUACUUUAUUGGCUUUUUAUCAACAUGAUUCAACAAUGAUGAUUGCUCAGAUUCUGCUUUGCCAUAAAUCCCUCCUGAAGACCCACAACUAAGUAACCUAACAGAAACAUAUUGAUGUCAACUCAAUCUCCAAAUUUUGCAUAAUUCAACUUCAAACCACAUUAAAGUAAAUGCACUCUCCGUACUAAAUCCCUUUUGUUGUAGUUCAUUGUGCAAAUAAUUCAAAGUUGUUGCCUUCCAAAAGGGUGUCCUUAUUCUGACUUCCUGAACUCUAGUUCUGCAACCAUUAAAAGAAAAUGACAAACAUUUAUAGUUCCCGUUACCAUACUCUCCUGAUUCUUUUUGGUAAACUAAAAACCCUAAAGUUGCAAAAAUCUCCAACAAAAUGUUCCUGAUUUCAGGCUUCUAAAUUAACCAACAAAGCAUCAAACACUUUGGCUUGUGUUUUGUUCUCAUCAUCUUUCUCAAACUAGGGAUGGCUACUUUUUUGAUGUAUUUCUCCAAUAUUACUCCUUGAGAGAAAUCAACUAAUUAUUCUUGAGAUAAUCAAAGUAAAUGAAAUAUAGCACAUGUACAGGUCAACUUGAUCUGAAAAACCAGAAUUGCCUUUGGAAUUAUUGCCUAUGUUAAUGUAACCUCAUCUUGUAACACAAUCCCCAUCCAGAUGUGAGACUUACUCUUUUAUUCAUAGCUUUAAGCAAAUGACAUUCCCUUCCAACUCUUCUCCCUAUCAGUAGGUUGAGAACUCCUAACCAAAUCUACAACUUAAAACAAAGGAAAGACCACAAUAAUAUCGUUCCUAAUGACUCCACUGCUCGGAAACCAGAAUAUAAGAUAGCCUCUUCUCCCCCCAAGAGGUCCCAACCCAUAAACCACCCAUGAACUCAACUUCAAAGACCGCAAGAUGAUAAAUUAUACAAAUUACAAGGAAAACGUAAUUUUGAGAAAAUUAAGAAAAAAAACUUUCGAUUUAGGGGGCUAACCGAGCUGAUGUAGUCGACCAACGCCGCGUUGGCUUCCCCGUCCCUCGCCGGAGCGUCGAUCUGCACGCCCAGCGCCUCGUCGCCGAAAUCUGAGGCCGACGGACGGAAGGAAAACUAGGGUUUUAAUGCGACAAAAUAGCAAUAGGUGAUCAAAAGGAGGGGGGUUGAGGAGAGGGAGCGAACCUGUGAUCGUGGCGACCUUAGAGCCCGGUUUGGCGUGGACGGUUAUGGCGACGGAGGAGGUGGGUAGGAGGCGGAGGCAGGCGGGAAUUCCUGCCGGCGCUGCCGGGGCGAUGGAGGCCGGAGCGGCGGAGUCGCCUUUCGCUUUGCCUCGUUUGGACGGUGCCAUUCUCUUGAACAUAGGUACCGCACCACCACCGUGGAGUACUAGUUCCCAAUAAACACGGCAUAUGAUAUGCCGUCUUCUGCGAGAGAGAUACGGCCGUCACGCCCCACCGUGAAGCUGAUUCCUGACUCAAACUUGAGCCGACCCUAAACUGGACCGGACAGAGAACAAAUGGAUCGGAAUCAAAGUCAGGCUUACUGAACUUUGAGAUUGGGUUUGGAAUUGAGAUUUAUAUAUACACACACACACACACAUACAUACAUAUAUAUAUAUAUAUAUAUAUAUAUAUAUACUAUANNNNNNNNNNNNNNNNNNNNAGUAGUAGUUAUUAUAUACACACACACACACACAUACAUACUAUAUAUAUAUAUAUAUAUAUAUAUAUAUAUACUAUAAGUGCUUUAUAUAUAUAUUCUUCUAAAUAUACAAAAUUGUAUGAUUAUUCUUAUAAAGUUGUUAUUUGUAUGUAUACUUACAUAAAUACUUGUUUUGCAUGUAUACUUUUUUUUAUUUCUUUUUUUAUAUGUGUAUCUAUACCAUCUAAUGCCGUUAAAAAAAUAAGUAGUUUAAAAUUAAAAUGAUUGAAAUACUUUUAAUGAGUAGACAUACAAAAAAUAUAUAUGUAUAAAGAUAUCUAUGCAAAUAGCAACUUUGCGAGAGUAAUUAUCCAAUUUCGCAUAUUUAAGAUAAAAGCUUAGUUAGAUUUGCCAAGUCUUUUAUAAUCCAAUUAUAUCGCAGUGGAAUGAAAUAAAGGCUGGUUUGGGUUGUAUCUUUUGCAUGAAAAAAUGAUUAAUAUUUUUUCACAAUAUCGACUAUUGGAUUGCACAUUACAAAUCUCAAGGCACUCCGAACUCUCUCAUUCAUUUGUCUGCGCAAAUCUCGAAGUGACCAUUGUGCAAUCUAAUAGUGGAUUCAUGCAAAAGGAGGGAAAUCAUUCUUUCGCGCAAAAGAUACAACUCUUGUUCAUGAUGACCAAGGUCAUAAGUGAAGCUAGAGGCCAUCCUCUUCCUCCCCUCUUUAUAAUAACUUUUCCUGCCCGUUGUAGCAAUGGCGAAUAGCUUCUAGGCCAGCCAACCGCCUCUCUACCCAUCCCCUCUAGUUCUCAAGCAACCGCACCUCACUUUCGGUACUUCCCCAAUUGUCAAAACCCAAGCCUUAGUUCCCUAAUUCCAUGUGGUUUCUUCAUGAAUUUUUUAAAAUACCAUCCCCCAUUUAAAGUUCUUGUAUUUAGUGACCAAAAUGGGAUUACCAAAGUAAUCUUUGAUCAUUGGUAACCCAUAUCCUGAGGUGAUUUGAUCCUCGAUGAUCUUUGAUUAUUGCAUUUGGUAUGCUAUAUUCUAGUGAUCGAAGAUCUCUAAGUAUCCAUGAGUAACAUAUUUGGUAUUAUAUAAAAACCCAAGAUUAUUAACCAUAUAGUACAAAAAUUACAUCUGAUGUCUUCCAUAAAAUAUAAUUUUUAAUCAAAUAAUAUAUAUAUAUUAUUAAUAUAUUCUAUAAAAAAUAUAUUUAUUAAUUCUAUAAAAAUAUAUUAAUUGUUAUUAUAGAAUUAAUAUUUUUGUUUAUGGUUAUAAUAUAUUAUUAUUUUAAUACUACUAUUUAUUUUGAUUGGAAAAAUAAGGCAAGUGGAAGUAAUCUAUUAAAUAAUUUCAAAAUUUGAAGAUAGUAUAAAUACAAAAAUUGCUAUCUAUGACAGUAUAUGAUUAGUAAUAUAUUAUAGUAUAAUAUAUAUUAUAAAUACAAUAUAUGUAAUAUCAACAUAAUAUAAUAUAAUAUAAUAUAAUAUAAUAUAAUAUAUUGAUAUAAUAUGUGAGGUAUAUUAAGAUACCAAUUUUUCUUACUGGACCGAGGGAUAUUUUUGUUGCUAAAUUUCAACCCAAGAUCACUGCAUUGGGAUGAUCUUAGAUACCCGACCUCAAGCACCGGUUUUUCAUCACUAAGUUAGACAGUGAUUUAAUAAAUGAGGAUGAUUUGCAUCACUACUAUGUAGAAAUCAUUAUGGUGCAAUCAAAUAUGGUGAUCUCGUCGCAUCCAUCCACAUUAUCUUUAAUUUUGAGAUGAUCAUCUCAUACCAAAAGCCCCAUAAAGAACGAUCAAUCUUAAUCUUGAAAAUUUUAUAAUUCAGAUUCGAUUGGGCCUGUGUGCAUCUCUUGUUUAUUAGUAGCCCGAGACGAAAUUUUNNNNNNNNNNNNNNNNNNNNGGCCGGGCCGGCCCGGCACGGCCCGUUGCCCAACUCUAUGUGCAUCUCUUGUUUAUUAGUAGCCCGAGACGAAAUUUUGGUUGAAUUCACUCGUGGUUUCUAUUUUCGUGACUCUAAUAUCAAUGUUACGGAAUCUGGUUGAAAUUGGUUUAUUGACAAGGAGUUCGUUAUUAGUCCGCCAAGUAUACGAUGGACAUGCAUUUUAUCAGAUACGGGGCAAGUGUCAUCACCUCCAUAGAAGGAAGUGAACCUCCUUGUCGAUCUCCACUUUUCUUUACCUCUUACAUUCUUUUGCAAAGAUAUUUGACAUCAUCACAUAGUUCCUAGGUUAUUGUAACAACCUGAGAUCUCAUCCAAAAUGGCUAGCCGAAAGAUAUGUUUUUGGGCUUCUUAGUUCCAUAUAAGUACUCAAGAUCUUCUUAAUAAAUAAUUGAUAUGGAACUAAAUACAUACCUGCACAAAUUCUCACAGUCAUCUUCAUCUAUCUUCAACAGGCUUUCUCCAACUUCUUUACCCAUCUUGAGGUCCCUUUUUUUUUCCCACAUCUUAGGUGUCUGCCAAUGCCAACACUUGCUUCUAGUAGCAUGUUGUCUGCGAGAUCCUAAGCUUCUUUCAAUUGGCCUGCACGGCCAAGGAGAUCAACCAUGAAAACUUAGUGAUUCAUUUUCGAUUUGUUUUUUAAUUUUCAUUAUGCUCAAAGUCGUCCAUAGUAUCUUAUUCUUUGGCACGGUCUGAUCAAAUACUUUUCUUGCUACUAGUAAAUCCCAUUGUUUAAACAAGAACAUCCAUUUGUAAUCAACAAAGCCUAGAUCUGGGUUCCUUCACAAACUUCUCCAAGACCACUGCAUGCUUUCAGUGUCAGAACUAAAUACUUUCUCAUACAUAAUCUUAUGUGUUCAUUGCCCAACAUGAAGAUUAGAACUAAAACCCAUCUUGUCGACACUUUCAGCAUCAAAUCCUUCGAACAACUCCUGAGGAGCUUCUGCGAUCCUUUGCAGCUCCGUUUUGCUCGGUAUGAAACUCCCCACUUGGGCUAUCAGAGAAUUGGAAAAUCGAAUCAUGCCGGCGUUGAGAAACUGCACCAAUAUGGAAGAAUUGAAGCAACUCCACGCUCACAUUCUGGUCUUUUCCCUUUCUCAAAGCAACUUCCUUGGAACUCAAAUCAUAAAUAUUUGCAAUAGCAAUCGAAGGGUAGACUAUGCUGCUCUAGUCUUCAACCAUGUGGAGGAACCAAAUCUGUUCCUCUACAAUGCCAUGAUCAAAGCGUGCACCCAAAACCAGCAUUGCUCUGAAGCAAUCAGCCUCUACAAACAGAUGUUGAAUCGCCGACACGCCCAAAAUUCAGUUCUUGCUGAUAGAUUUACCUAUCCAUUUGUACUGAAAGCUUGUGCCGGUCUACUUCUCCUUGUUCUUGGCAAGCUGGUUCAUGUCCAUAUAUUUAGAUCCGGGCUGACCUCUAACUCUAUAAUUCAGAAUUCGCUGAUGGAGAUGUACGCAAAAUGUGAUGAUUUAGUCGAUGCACGCAGAGUGUUUGAUGAAAUGGAGGACAGAGAUGCGGUCUCAUGGAAUACACUCAUCUCGGCGCAUGCUAGGCUGGGGCAAAUGAGGAAAGCUAGAGCUUUAUUUAACUCGAUGCCUAGUAGAACAGUGGUUUCUUGGACUGCAUUGAUCUCUGGGUACACCAUGGCUGCUCAGUUCUUUGAUGCGGUGGAGGUAUUUCAUCGCAUGCAAUUGGAAGGCUUCGAGCCUGAUGAUAUUAGUAUUGUAUCAGUUUUGCCUGCUUGUGCUCAGCUAGGGGCUCUGGAGCUGGGCAGAUGGAUCCACGCCUGCUGUGAUAAGCAUGAACUGCUUCAAAAGAGCUUCAUUUGUAAUGCUCUUAUAGAAAUGUAUGCCAAAUGUGGGAGCAUCGAUCAGGCUCUUCGAUUGUUUGAGGAAAUGAAAGACAGGGAUGUGAUCUCAUGGAGCACGAUGAUCGGAGGUCUCGCAUUGCACGGGCGAGCUCACAAAGCAAUCGAACUGUUUGUGGAAAUGGAGAAAGAUGAAACAGUGAGGCCAAAUGGCAUUACAUUUAUUGGUCUCCUAUCUGCUUGUUCUCAUGCUGGUUUGUUGGAUGAGGGGUUCAGGUACUUUGAUUCGAUGAAAGAGGUCUAUGGUAUUGAUCCUGGUGUCGAGCAUUAUGGGUGCAUGGUGGAUCUUCUCGGUCGUUCAGGCUGCAUUGAUCGUGCAGUAGAAUUUAUCGAGAGCAUGCCUGUUCUACCGGAUGCGGCUGUCUGGGGGUCUUUGCUCAGUGCUUGCAGAACUCAUGGUAAUAUUGGGACAGCUGUGAAGGCAAUGGAAUGGCUCGUUGAGCUCGAGCCAGACGACAUUGGGAACUAUGUCAUGCUUUCGAAUAUAUAUGCAGCAGCCGGGAGAUGGGAUGGUGUUGCAAAGAUGAGGAGAGUGAUCAGGAGUAAGAGCUUGAAGAAGACACCAGGGUGCAGCUUGAUAGAGGUGAACAAUGUGGUUCAGGAGUUUGUAGCUGGAGAUGAUUCGAACCUGCAGUUUGGUGAGAUAUCAGGGAUGCUAUACUUGUUGGCCUCCCAGCUUGGCCAUUAUGGAUAUCAGAGAACAAUGGAAUCUAAAGAAUAAGCAAAGCUUACAGAUUCAUCUCACAAGCUCGGCAACGAUAUUUGUUUUGCUCAGUAAAUAACGCAAAGCUCGAAGACGAGACAGAAGAGGUAAAAGAAAUUCCUCAAACAAGUGACUACACUUAAACUGCAUCUCACUAUACUUUUGCUUGCAUGUAUGUCAUUGGCAAAACAAAAUUGCAGUAGUCAAUUGAUACCAUGAUGCUUUAUGAAGAUUUUUUCUAUAGAAGAAACCAUGAUACGCCAUAUUGAUCCGAACCGGACGGUACGCCGUAUCAUAUCUAUUUGGUACCGAUACCCUGGUACAUAUGGUAUACCGAUAUUCGGUACGCUAAAAAAAAUUUCGUACCAUACCGUACUGAUACUAUGCUAGUAUGGCACCAGUAUGAAUCCGGUACCGAGACAACGAACCUCAGAAGAAACGAUAUUAAACUGACCUUAAAUGCUGAGAAAAAUAUUUGAUGAGAAAGCAUAAUUUCUAAAAGUUACGUGUCAUGAUUUUUGUCCUGGAUGCAGCAGAUCUUGAUAGCAAACCUUACCUAGACCUACCUGGUGGCUAAACUAAUCCACAAUGGAUUCAGUGAUCCUUCUUGAUCAUUAACAUGCCAUGGUUUUUAGUGUUUUCCAGCAACAAGUAGAAGGUGGCCCUGGUGAAAUCAUCCAACAUACUUUUUACUUAUUGUUGAUCAUAAUGAUGGAUGAAAACAAAAAAUAAAUGCUCUAAUUUGGUUGAACCUUUCACAUUAGUUAUUCUGAAUGCUUGAUUUGCACUCGGGGAACACAUGGACUGUGCACUGAACCCAUAGCGAGAAUCGCUUUUAGGUUAAAAACAUGACCUGUGAGUUCUUUAUCAUUGUUCAUCACAGUAAUGGAUCAAAAUAAAAAAAACAUAAACACUCUAAUGGUUGAAGUUUUUGCAUUAGUUACUGACAAUGAAGCAUCAUGCGAAACUUAUGGCUAUGCGCUGAACAACACAGUAAAGAUCACUUUGAAGUUAAAAUCCUAAAGAAAAAUGUCUUUGCAAUUACAGAUAAAUACAAAAUAUACAAUGUCUGCAAAUAUACUAACAGAUUCAUCUUACAUACAACUUAUACAGUGACAGAAUUCCAGGAUCAGCGGAUCUUCAGAAAGCUGGAUCCAAUCUUAUGGCUAGGAUAGAGCCAAUGCUUCGUUUCAGCUGGAGUAGGGGGAUGAAGAGGAGAAUGAACUGUACUUGUUUGAUUUUGAAAAUGAUGAAAUGGCCAGGUACUAAGUUACAUCUUUGACAGAGUAGCCUGCAUGCUUGAAACCAGGAGCAUACUAUUGAAGAAACCCUUCAAUUGAAGCUGGAGAAUAUCCUUCCGUAAAAAGAAUGCAAUGUUGAAGCUUCAUCAAUCUCCAACACAAGAUAAACUGAAGUGUGGAAAGCAACUGAUGGAAGCAUUCAAUUUCAUGAUCGGUGCUGCCUCAUGUUGUCAGGCAUUGCCAGCAGGACUGAUGGUAAGCUUCAAAUUUUUUGAAGGCUGGACCACAAUAAGCUAAAUGCAGAGAUCCAAAGGGCAUGCCAAAGUCCAAAGAUAAAAAACACCAGAAUACAGCUUGAUUUAGCUGAACAGUUAGCUGAAGACCUGUUGGCUGUACAACUUACUUUCUAAACAAACAACUCAUAUUCUCAAGAAUCUGUGAUGAUAGAACUCAUCAAAUGACAGGCGUUUCACUGCAAAGGAUAGAGAACUUCGUCAGCAACACAUGAUACACUAGAUGAAAAAUUGAGGUUAAAAGUACACACCUGGGUUUUUGCACAAAAGCCUAGCACACAUAUCAAUAGAGUCAAGAUGCAAACUGGGGAGGAUGAGCUGUGAAAAUGGCAAGGACGUACUACUCUUUAUGCUUUUUAGAAGCUGCAGAAGAAACCAACAUUAAGCCAGAACAAAGGCAAAAAGGAAGGUUACAAUAAUGAUGCAAUAAUCUUAUUUGUAAAUAGAUUAGCCACCUGAACAUUGUUACUGCCACGAAAAGGUGGAUACCCAUUCAGAAGCUCAAAGAAAAUUGCACCAAUGCUCCACAUAUCUACCUGGUUAGAGAAAGCAUUUCAAUUUGCUGUCAUUUGAGUAGGAGGAGAGAGCGACUUUUACCUUGUCGUCAUACUGUUGAAAUUCCAUAACCUCUGGAGCCAUGUAGAAAGGUGUUCCACAAACUGAGUCUGCAAACUCGCCAGGAUGAACAGCUCUAUUUGAAAGCAGUAGGAGAACAUGUAAGAAUUCCUUCUGAAGAUAAACAAUUAGUUGUACAAAAUACUCUGAAUUCUGAUAUGGAAUACUCCAGUAAUUUGCUACCGAUACCUUGAUAGACCAAAAUCAGCUAUCUUUAGCACAGCAUCACUGCUGGGAGUAGAAAGUAGAAUAUUCUGCUCCACUAACAGCAAAUGUCAAUGAAUUAUGAAGAGCAUGAAUUCUAUAAGUAGAAUUAGAUGGUUAACAUUGUUCUGUACCUUCGGUUUCAAGUCCCGAUGGAUUAUGUGGUGAGCAUGCAUUACCUCCAAACCUGCUCCUGCAAUAUGAAGAUAAAUGAACUAUUGUAUCAUAUCCACAAUAUUAGUGGGACAAAAAUACUUGCUUGAUACUUAUCAGUUCAUUGAUGAUACAAAUACCUAGCUGCUUCAUGAAUUUUCUGACAGUAUUUUCAUGCACCCUCCCUUUUUGCUGAAUGUAAGUGGCUAAGUUUCCUCCGGAACAGAACUCCAAAACAAGGAAUAUGCAUCCAUCAACCUGAAAUGGGAAAAUAUCGAGAAGCAAAAGAGUGAAAACGUAAAACUUCUAUUAAUGUUCAUCACAGGGACCAUGAUGCAUAACUCACAAUAAUGGAACUUAUUUUGAAUUCUACUUUGGAAGUUUUGAACAUGGCUGGUGUUUGUGAUAAAAAAAGCCCCAAAUUAUUUGGCCUUAUUGAUGUAAAAAGGCACCCAUGUAGAUAUACACAUAAUACAAUCCUCAGUAGGGAGUUGAAAACCCUUCUUUUCCACUGAAUCUUCAGGUGAAACAGCUAGCUUUAAGAAAAAUAAGGUGAUCUACAUCAAUUCUAUAAGUUUCUUGGAGUUUUAAAUGUGUUCAGCUGUUGCAUUUGAUCUUAUUUUCUUUCAUUUUGCUCUUUUAAUGGAUGAAGAAACUCAUGAUUGGCCUUCCUUCCAACUUCCGUCAUAAAAAUUUUGAUAGAGCCAUGAUGGAACACAAAAUAGCCAAGGCUCCACCAUCAGAAUUUCUGGUAAAAACUCCGCAAUGAAGCACCAGUCCUAGUUAAAAGGUAUUGCCCUCCAACAACAGGUUAAGAAAAAAUUUGCAAAAUUUUCGUUACUUGGCAAGUUCAAAAUUUCCUAUUCUGAACAGCAAGCCCUGGAUAUAAAGCUCAAAGUUACUGAUCCUCCUCCAAUAAAUUGCCCCCAAACCCAAAAUAUUCCCAUGAAGCAUGUGAUCAGAAGCUAAUGAAGUCUAUUACUCUAGAUAUUAAAAGCCCUAAAGUUCGAGCAAACAACUCCUCAAAAGCUCCAACUAUUUGAUUUCCGAACUAAGAAUUCAAUCCAAAUACCAAAACCUGGUUCCGAAACCCCAACUAGCGGCUAUCCAAAAGAGCUAAUGGAACCAAUUUCUCGAUAGAAUAAACAACCAAAAACUUUCAAACUGGGAAAUCAAUUGAAAGCUCAAAUCUUUACAUUUCUGAACUAUUUAAUUCAGUCUAAACAUCAAAUCUCUGAUUCAUAACCCGCAAGAAGCCUCAAUUUUAAGCUCUUUCCCCUCAAUCAAAAGCUUUAAAACACAAGUUUAACGUCCAAAUGAAAUAAAAAUGAGAGAAAAAAAAAAGAGAAAUGAAGUGGAAAGGGAAGGAAGGGAACCUGGAAGACAUCAAGGAGGCGGAUGAUGUUGGGAUGGCAGACGCUUGCCAAGAAGUUGAUCUCGCAAUCGAGGCAUUCCCUCAGGGUCCUGGUGAGCCCCGAGAGGCGGACCUGCUUCAAGACGACGUCCUGGCCGCUCGAUCGGUGGACCGCCCUCCACACGAUCGAGAACGGCCCUUCCCCUCCCAGCCUCCCCCUCACCUCGUACUCUCCGUCGCCGGCGAUGGACGGCGGUGGCCGCUCCUCCGUCAUCCGUCCCUCGCUCUCUCUCAUCCUGGUCCCCUCUCCGCACUACAAGCCAUCACUGUUCUCACGAGCCAACCGACAAGCACGAUCUCAAGCGUUUUGCGAGUCCCCGGACAGCUACCCAAAUGGAAGUAGACCCGCUUUUCCCCAAACCAGCGCCAAAUAAACCGUCGGCUGUGAUUCAGGGUUGACAAUUAUAGCAACCGGGCCAAGCCGGAUGGACGGUAGAUCAAAAAUUUAUCAAUUUAAAUUUAAUUAAUUUAUUAAAUAGAUAAAAUUUUAGAUUUGAAUGUGAUAAUUUUAUUAAAUAGAUGAUGUAAUCAAAUCUAUAAUAAGUAAAAAUAAGUGAAAUGGGGUAAAUAGCGAAGCACCGCCUUUUAUACUUAAAAAUGGAAGUAGUUGUAUUUUUGAUGCAAAAGGAGGAUACAUCUUUCUUCGCAUGAAUCCAUCAUUAGAUCACCAUUGCACAGAUCUCAAAGCAACUCGUACUAUCAUCAUCCGCCUCCGCAAAUCCCAAAGUGACUGAUGGAUGAUUCAACGGUGGAUUGGUGCGAAUAUCAAUGAAUAUUUUUAUCCAAAGAUGCAACCCCACUCUACUGAAAUGGGCCAGAGUUCCGUUGGGUCAACUGUCAAAUUGCGUUUUCUAGGCCCAAAGCCAGUUCUGCUCCCCAAAAUUUAAUUAAAGAUUUAUCAUAUUUUUCCUAGGGCUCGAUAUACUUUUUUUUUUUCCCGUUAUUAUCUUCUGUUCUUAAAAUCUUCCUAUUAUGAAGGGUUGAAAAGAAAAAGGAGGGGGUCAAAUUUUAGUUGUCAAGUAGUCAAGUAGAAUUAUAUCCUUGAUUUUCUUAAUUUCUCUGCAUACUGAUAAGUAGAAGGAAAAUCACACAGAAAAAAGAGGGAAUGGGUUGGUGCUCUCACAAAAAUCAUGACUUAAAUAUGUUUGAGAUUAAUUGGAUCAACAUGAGAUUGCAUACUCCAUGGAAAAGGUGUUUUUCUUCCCUAAUUUUCAUAUGAUUCUGAUUUGCUCCUCAACUUUAUGGCUGAAUCCUUUUUUUCACUAUCUCAACAAAAUGGGCUGGCACUCACUAACUUUUCAAAAAGAAACAAAUCAUAAACACCAUAACAACAUGUCAAGGAUUAUAGUGCAGGAAGAUCAGUUUAAUGGUCUAAAUUAGGUUUUCACAAUGAGGGAAAUAACAAAAACAUGCAUAUUUAUAUACAAACACACGUACACUCAACACACACUAAUCAGAAAAUCAAAGCAAUUAUUUUUUUAUGUCUUCAAAAAAAGCCCCUAGGCAAGAUGGCUUCCCUCCAUUUUCUUAAAAAUGAAUUGCAAGAUAGUUAACCUAGGGUGUGUCUUGCAAUCAAAAUAUUUUUCUUUUCGUGGCAUACUAUUGGGCUUGCAAAGAACGGAUAUGUUUCUAGGGCAUUGGACGAAGCCCCAGUUGAUCCUUCUAAAAGCCUUCAUGCAAGCAAUGGUUCAUUCAGAUGAUUGCCUCGGAAAAAUCUUUGAUAGCUCGAAAAAUCUAUGGUUCUUAUCGUGCAAUUCUUGCAUCUCCUAACGUAAUAUUUUUUACUUAGGAGCCACCAUCCUCUUAUUUCCUUGUGAUAUAUUUUGAUGGUAGGAUUCAAGAUGAAGGUGGCCAUGGGCGAGCCGGCUUUGUUAUCUAGAGCCAUAGUUGCAUGUUUUUUGGCUGCUGGGGGUACGUAGCUUCUUGACAUUUCAGCACCGAUACAAAGUUGCAUGGAGCAUAGGAGGGGUUGACUUAUCCUAUCAGAGUUUUAGGGCAUGCACAUCACUUUAGAAGUGAUUUCAAAACAAUGAUAAGCUGGUGUCCAUCAGGUGGCUGAUGUAGGAGGCACUCAACCUUAGUACAGGACAUCCAGCUAAAGGGAGCCACUUUUGUAUAGUCUGAAGCAUCUCAUGUGUACAAGGAAGCCGGUAGCAUGGUUAAUUGGGUUGCUUCUUACAUGGUCCAUCACUCUAGUGCAGUUUUUUUGGGACUCCAUGUUUAUUCUUCCUUCCCAAUUUCGAGAUCUUUUGUAUAUACCAACUCUCAAGGUUGGAUUUACACUAGAGCUAUACAGCUCAUUCACUUCAUCUUAAAAAAGAAAAAAAUCCCUUUCUUGAUACAUGCUUGAAGAGUAGAAGUCAACUUUCUAUCACUUUAAUUUCUAAAACACCUGAUGCCUUGGAGUCUUGCCAUUAUUUUUUUAUUUUUGAUAAGGCGAACAGAUCAUACAUGCCUAAUAUGAAUAUGCCCAAUAAAAUUAGAAAACAAAAUACCGUUCAAAUAAGUAUAAACAGCUAGAGUGUUGGUCCAAAGGACUUUCCUUAUAGUGCUCCCCAACAAACGAGUCUUGCCAUUAUUAACCAAGUACUCUUUGAAACACUAUGCGCUCUUUUCGAGCCCGUUGAUUUUCGGGGGUGGAGUUUUCUAGAUAAUAUCCUCAUAGCUCAAGGAAUAAUGCAUGAAUUGGAGAGAGCGCAGCUGCUCAAAAGUUUGACAGCAAUUAAACUUGAUACGAAAAGAGCAUAUGAUCGCAUGAGAUGGGACUUCCAGGUCCGUGGGCUUCUUGUCUUGGACAAGGCUGUCCUCUCUCGCCGUAUCUGUUCAUAUUUUGUGCUAACUUGGAGUCUCCGUUGCUAAAUCAGGCUAUUGAAUAGACCAAAGUUACAGGGUUAUCAACUCACUCCUCUGACGCCUCAAAUUUCCCAUCAAUAUUUUGUCGAUGACUGUUUGCUGUUGUUUGCAAAGGCAAAGAUAGUACAUGCUGGAGAUAGUACUAAAUCUGCUAGUACUUGGCAGCACUUGGAGUUAAUCCAAUCUCUAGUUAAAGCCUUAAUUCUUCUAACUAUAAUUUUUUCUCUGAGAAAAUUGCCACUAAGCUUAUAGGAUGGAAACGGAGAUCACCAUGACAGGCUUCAUUAAUUGUUCUAACCUAUUCUGUUCUUAGUUCUUGGGAAAAUGCAUCGCAUGGCUUGGGAGGUUGUUUAUUUUAGAGCCUAACAAUCUCUCAUCCUUGACAUGAGGACUAAAUAUAGGGUUCUCAUUGUCGAAUAUACCUUAAAAGCUCCCAGAUAUUACUCAGCCAUUUGGAGAUAAUUAUGCAAGCAUACCGAUGUGAUGAGAACUUAUUUACAAUGGAUGAUUGGAGAUGGCUCAAACAUCGAUGUGUGGAACAACCCUUGGUGAUUCACCUCGUCAACAUUUUCUCAUUUUACUGCUUUAUUUGAUGCUAAUUAAUUACUGAACUGUAAGAUUCCUGAGCUACUCAUUAGUGAAAAGAAUGUAAGAUUUAGAGACUCCAUUACUUUUUAUCCAGCAAUUGGUGCAACAAAUCAAUUCUAUUCCUAUACCUUGAGGAAUUGAAAAAGAUAGACUGUUUUGGGAGCCCCAAGAACGUUGAGGGCAAAUUUGGUGCAUGGUAGUGCUUGUGAUAGAAAUAAUUUGACUGUUACCAGGACGUAGGAUAGAUUUGGAAACUUAAGAUUCAGCCAAGAGUUGCUCUAUUUUGGUGGAAGCUUGGAUGGGUUAAAUUAUCAUGUGUGUGUACAUUCUGGCUUCAUGUAAUGAAUGUGCUCAAGUGGACAUGCAACUUGGAGUGCAUCUUGGAUCCCUUGAAGAGCCAAGCUGCAUGCCAAGGAAUACACCUCCAACUUGAACACCAAGUCAUCUUACUUGGUCUAGGGAAACCUGGGUUUCUCCUGCCAAGUGCAUUGUUCUCCUGCAGAUGAUUCAAUUCACUUAGGAACCUCCAUCUCUCGGUUCCAUUAACAUAAAUUUCAAUGGAUCGGAUAGAGGAGGGAUUAGCAUUGAUGGUGUGGCUAUGUUAUUACGGAUUAUCGAGGAGCGUUAGUAGUAGUUGGUCUUGUGCUCUUGUUUCUCACCAAUUAGCCUAUAGUGGAACUUAAGAGCUGCAUAGGAGGAGAUGGUAUAUAUUACUGAGAAAUUGAAUAAAGCUCAGAAGAUUUGCCUUGAAGGAGAUUCAAAAACAGUAAUUAAUAGUAAGUAUCCAAUGCCUUAUUUAGAUGUUCAUCCUACGAUCAUCGAUAUCUGGAGGAUGUCCACGAAGCUGGAAGCUUUACAAGAAAAGCAUGCUUUUCCUCAAGCUAAUUCUACUAGUAAUUGGAUCGCCACUCAUAUUGCCAACAAUUCGAGAGGAUAUACUAAUUCUCGUGCAGUGUAACACAUCUGUCUUACAAAAAAAAAAAGGGAGCUAGAGGGGCGGGUUGGUCAAUUUUGUUUAAAAGAAAUCAAAGUAAAAGAAGAAUUUAAUGCAAACAUUGUCCUCAUCACAAUGAAGUGUUUCCAUGCAAUAAGAAGAAGACAUCGCAAUCAACUGCCGCGUUGCUGAAGGCAUCCAUUUUGGACGUGUGUGCGCGAGCUUUGAUAAAUUAUUUACGCAAUAUAAUACAUAUGACAAGAAUUUCAAGCCUCAGCUCUAAGUUUCAAUGCAAAUCAUUGGCACAUCAUAUUCUUCCUAAUCUCCUUUUUCGCAUUCAGUUUUGCCACAAAAAAAUAAAAUAAAAUGGAGAGAGAUUUUCUUAGCAAAGAGAUAUAUUCAACAACUCUUGGGGCCCUCCUUAUCUUUUUACCGUGCAUGCAUGCAUGCAUGAUUGAAGAGACAUGAUAAUUGCAAAUCAGUCCCUUGUAGGGCCUUCUGCUCUGAAAAACUGAAGUGAUUCUUUUUUUCCACAGGUCAAGAUCUAACAAUGCCCCACUUGCCGGAUUUGCGCCUUUUAGGCCCCGCUGAAUGCAGACUCCUAGACGCCGCAUCCGGGCCCACAUGCAUGUGACGCCGGAGCUCGGUUAACAUUAUUGCCUAGAAGUCUAGAAUCGAAGGCACAUCCUAAUUAUGGGAUAUAGCAGCCAAGAGUUUAUGAAAUAAACGUGUCUUCAGGUUCUCAAAUUCUUAUUCACUAACAACAACCUUACUGCCAUCUUGUUCAGCAGUGUAACCAUAUAAAGUUAGGGGAAGAGUAAAUAACUCAACAGUUUGGAAUACAGGGAUUUUUUUAUGGGUCCCUUGCAGAUAAGCAGACAAACAUAUAAUUUAUCAGCCAGAGGAGCAAUGUGAAAGCACCAUAGCUUGAGUCUUUUUUUUUCUUUUGUAAAUUUUGGUAUCUUUUGUGAAUGAGCUACUAAACCAUUUGCCUUUUUGUGAGCAUUCAUUUAGAAAUUUCUCUAAAANNNNNNNNNNNNNNNNNNNNNNNNNNNNNNNNNNNNNNNNNNNNNNNNNNNNNNNNNNNNNNNNNNUCAUCAGUUCUUGGUAGUGGAAUUUCUAGAAUUGAGGACAAGGUGACAAUUGGGUCAUUGACAUGGAAAAACUUAAGAUUAAUGAAAAUCCAUAUGUUUGGAUUUUGAAUAUGCUUAACUGCGACAAGGAAUGGUUUCAUUGUAUCGGUGUUUCACUAUAUUAUCUGCCAUUUGCUAUGAUAAGGAAUAAUAAUGGCCCUUGUAGCAAUUAGUAUUUUAUUCUAACAAAAAAAAUAUUUUGAAGAUUAGACUCGGAAUUUUGGCAAACUGCUUCUCGUGACUAGUACAUAUGGGAACUACAAUCGCUACAACAAAAAUGAUAACUAGUAGUAUUUUCAAGUACCACUAUAAACAAAUAGGAAUGUUGCAAAUGUUCCUUCUAGAUAUUUUUAUGGCAUUUUCUUAUGUACCAUCUUAGAAAUUAUAAGUACCAGCAAAAAAUUCUCAAAAUAAAUUUUAUAAUCUAAAAUUCAAAAAAAGAGAGGAUUUUCGAACUAAUAAUCCCUCUGAGCUCUUAACCACCGGCCACAACUUAUAUUGUUCUUACACAGGAAUGGUUUAGUGAAAGAUCAUUUAGUAAAUAAAAUAGAUAAAAAUAAAAAAUAAUAUUAGGUAAAUAAAAAUUAAAAUAAAAAAUAAUAAUAGCUAAAAAUUGGAGGUGGAUAAGGAUAUCAAAGAUAAAAUUAGGAAUAGAAGGAAAAUAAACUUGUUUGAGAGAAGUUGGCUUAGAUUGAGAGAAAGGAAUUCAGACAUUAUGAAGAUAUAGAAGUUUGAAUAAAAUUAGUAUUUUACAUGCAUUUUUUAAUUAUCGAUAUUAAUGAUUGUUAUAUAAUAAAAUUUAUUUGUAAAUCAAAUAAUAUUUCAUUCUGGGACAAAUUUGACAGGCUUAAAGGGCCCCUCCAAUACUUUUUUACGGAGUAGAUGAGUAAAGGUAAGUUUAGGUACUUUCUAGAAAACAAAAAUAUUUUUAUAUAGCCAAUGAUUUGGAUAAUACUGCCAGUGUAGGAAUUAACAUGUUCAUGUUGCAACCUAUCAAGGUCAUUAUGUGAUAUGGAUUCACAUCAAAAGAUGAGUAGUGGUAUCAAAUGCCUGAACAUAACUUUUCUUUUCUUUUUCUUUUUUCUAGGAAACUCGAUCAAAAGAUCUAGGGAACUUUCAUUAAGGGAUUGAAAGAUAUAGUCUUAGAUUUACAUGAACAAAUCAUGUUUGGCUUCAAUUAAACAUGACAUACAAAAAAAUGGAUAUUGUAUACAUCGUUAUUUAUUAUUAUUAAUUCAUGAAUAAUCAAUAUAGUUUAUUGAAAGUGUAUAUUUUAGUUAUGAGAGUGAUGAUUAGUUUAAGUGAUAAAAUGACUGAAGAUUGGGUACUAGUGAUUUGGGUUGGAGUCCCACUUUCAACAUAAUUUAUAAUCUUAAUAAAUUUUCAUGGCCUUGCCCAUGAUCACAGAUAAGCCCACCGGAUUACACCAAGGUGGAAGUAGUUUUAGUCCUUAAAACCAAUUAAUAUAAACACAUGAAGUGUCGGGGGAAUAAUUAAAAGCAUAUGGAAAGAUCCGCCGGCAUUAAUUCCGCUACAAGCGAAAUGAUUGAACCCAUCGUACAAAACUGCCCCCACUCAAAUGAACGUGAUUAGACGCUAUUAACUUAUAAUAUUAGCCGUACGAAAUAAAUGUGCGUGUCAUAUGCGCGUGUGUGUAUGAAAGAGAUAAAGCAAGCCGAGAGAAGAAAUUAUACCCUUGGCCAGAAGCACAACUGGCAGCCCCGUGGACCACACCAAUCAUAAUUUUUAUUUUUGUGAACUUACAUUUUAUCGUACAGCUUGGAUUAUUCCAAUAACGCAUCAUUGAUAUAAUGCACUUGAUCUAGGGUAUAUUUUCUCGAGCGAGAGCAAGAGGUAAACAGAAAAAUUAUAUCCUACGUCCAAUCAGUAUUUUGGCCAUGUGUAUCAGCUCAGCAAACAAAAAAAAAAAAAAAGACUUUCCAAACGAAUACUCUGCCCCUCCUCUGAAACCCUAGCCUAGCACUCUUCCUCCCCUCUCUACUUUCUUCUUUUGCCUUGCCUUCCACCUCUAGCCAUGUAGCUUCCGCAUCUUGGUAGCCCAAUGAGAGCCGCAGUAAGGAUAAGCUCCGAGCACUCUGCAUGCUCUUAUGUAGUUCGUCAAUGAUGGAAUCAUCGAUCAAAUAUUGUCAAAGCUUCGAAAGAAGCAAUCUAGUAGGAGCCGCACUGAGGAUGAGGAGCUUUGAGCUGUCCAUAAACCCUUAUCCAAGCCUAGCAUUGGGAGAGACUGGAGGCCAUGAAAGAAGAGGAAGAGGGCUAGAAAGUGGAAGCCACAUUUUUUUCCCCUCUUUGAGUUCAUCAUGUUCAUGUGAUGGCCUAUUAUUGACUUGGUGCACGCUAAGUUGGGACAUCGGAUGUAGGGUAUAAUUGUGAUAUACAUGUGAUAUGGGAUAUAAUUGUGAUAUCAAUGUGAUACAGGGUAUAAUUGUGUGUGUGUAUGUGUGUGUGUGUGUGUGUGUGUGAGAGAGAGAGAGAGAGAGAGAGAGAGAGAGAGAGAGAGAGAGAGAGAGAGAGAGAGAGAGANNNNNNNNNNNNNNNNNNNNUGUGUGUGUGUGUGUGUGUGUGUGUGUGUGUGUGUGUGAGAGAGAGAGAGAGAGAGAGAGAGAGAGAGAGAGCGCUUAGUCAAGAAGUAGUGGUCCCGAGUGGGAAAAAAAAAGUUCAUGUCACGUUUUCAAGCUGGCAUGCACUCUCCGGGGCGAAAACGACAGUGUCCAAGUUUUCCUUUUGGGUCAGCAAGGAAGUCCAGAAACUCGUAACCAGCAGCCUUGCAUGGAUAAACUAAGGUCCAUGUCUUAUUUUUCAUUUGAAUCACAGUUGCCAAGUCCAGUAACGCGGCACCUACUACCUAGUCUCUUCGCCUAUAUAAAGGAAGGUUGAGAGCCUGGGUGUUCUCAGACAAGGGAAGCUCAACUGGGUCGAGACACGUACGUUAGACUGAUGGAUAGGAGAGGAAGGGAGGAGGCCUCCAUGGCCUGCCUUGUUUCCACUCUCAUGGUGCUCUUUGUUUCUCUGAGCUUGCCUCUUCAGACACAAGCAAAUUAUCCUUACCCAUACAAGUCACCACCACCACCACCUCUCCACCACCACAAACCACCAACACUACCACCUCCUCCUGUUUACCACUACAAAUCACCACCUCCCCCUCCCCAUGUCUACAAGUAUAAAUCUCCACCACCACCUCCUUACCACCCCAUAUCACCAGCUCCUCCUCAUCAUCAUGCCUACAAGUAUAAAUCUCCACCACCACCUCCUUACCACCCUGCUCCUAUCUACAAGUACAAGUCACCACCUCCCCUCAUCAUGCUUACAAAUAUAAAUCUCCACCACCCCCUCUUCACCACCCUGCUCCUGUCUACAAGUACAAGUCACCACCUCCUCCUCACCAUGUCUACAAGUACAAAUCUCCACCACCCCCUCGCCAUUACAAGGCACCUUGUCCUCCUUCCCCUGUCUACAAAUAUAAAUCACCACCACCCCCUCCCUACCAUCACAUAUCACCAACCCUACCUCCCUACCACGACAAGUCACCACCACCACCCCCUCCUGUUUACAAGUAUAAAUCACCACCGCCACCUCCCUAUCACUACAAGUCACCACCACCUCCCCCUCCAGUCUACAAGUAUAAGUCUCCUCCACCACCUCCACAUGUUUAUCACUACACUUCACCUCCUCCUCCUCCCUAUCACUAUUAAGCGGCAGAACACCGUCGAAACCAAAAGGGUUAGUUGCUUGUAUUUUCUGAGCUCAGAAUAUGGUUAAAAAUGAAGUUACUUGGAGUAAUAACAAACGGAUGUUUCUUGUUCUUUCUUUCUUUGUUUUCUUUCUCUUUUUUUUUUAAGAGAGCUAAUUAAUUAAGCCGAAGCCAAAUGGAAAACACAUGGGCAAUUUUAAAACAGCACCAUUGGAACAUAACCCCCCUCUCGUUUUUUAUUAUUUUGCAGGGAUGAAGACUUAUCUUUCCUGAUGGUUGCCAUAUAUGAACCAGCAUCAAGUGCAGGUUUUACUAGGGUUGUGGAGAGUAGAAUAAAGCAAUCGAGGUUCCUUCUACAAAAGAAGUGGCCCCUGAUGCUUCUAUGGAGUGAAUAAAGUUGCUUUAUAUCGUGUAAUGCAGAAGCAUCUGCUUAGUAGCUGGAAAAGAGUGGAAAGAGGAGAUAAGCAUAUGUACUUGCUCUUUCCUGCUUUUGAAUUGUAUUUUUGUUAGUAUUUUGGCAAAUCUCUAGGGAUUUCCUUCAAUCCCUCCUACUAUGUUCAGUUAUAACCCAGAAGUUAUUACAAUCAUAACUGUACUUGCAAGUAGCCAGUAGAAGCAUGUAUGUCCAGUUGUUGAAUGCACGCAUUAUACAAAGUUUCGGGUAUCUGAAGUAAUUAAAAAGUGGCCAUGAAGAGUGAAAAGCUCUUACAUUUAAGGACUAAUUAAUUUGCAUGGAGCGGUUUGUCAUCAUAGUAGAGACAUGAUGAAGAUAAGUUUGAACAGCUAGUGAUGGAGCAAAAGAGGAUGAAAAUGGGGAAAAUCCUAGAACUGUAAAUGAGGAAGUGACUUUAAGUCGAUAAGUAGUUCGACAUCAUGAUCAUACCUAUGAUCAAAUGCAGCUAGCUACAGAUGAGAUUUAUGCAUACUAAAUUUGUUGUUAUUCAUGACCCACCCUUACAUCAACUAUAGCAAUUACAAUAUUGAUUGCAGUUAGGCCAUUUGAAUUUCUACAAAGAACACCUCGAACUACCAAAUUAAUAAGCACUCAGUGAUACCACAAUGAGGCAGCUAAUAAUCUACAAAUCUUGUGGGCCGCAAACAUAAUCCCUAGCUUAUGUUUUCCAUGAUAGAAAUGAUUAAGCCAGUCAGAAAAAACUGACUUCAAAGAGUCACCCUAUGCGAGCAUUACUCCUCUCAUAAUCUCCCUUAAAGAAAGAGCACGCCGCCCAUAUAAGAAUUGCAUGGUAGAACUCUGCAAGUAAUCAUGCCAACCCUCGUUCCUGGGAUCGAUUGAAGGAGGGAGAGAAGCCAUGAUCUCAUGAAACAGCAUUUAUCUUUUUGCUAAUAUUAUCAGGUCUAUGAAUUAAGCUUGAGAGGCAACGCCAGUCCAGAUCAAGACUGAAUCAUAAUGCAUGGUCCCAAAAUGUGGUUAGAAGUGUAAAAUAUGAACUAAAUUAAAGCAGAGAUCAAAAGGACAAUUAAGGCCAUUAUCAGGAAAAGCAGACAGCCGAUACAGAUUUUUGUACAACCUUUGGACUGGAUUGCUUGGAUGGCAAACUGCCGACAAAGACUGAAAGAUCCCUAAAUUAUUGUGAGGUUUCUGACGUAUUCUCUUAGCUGUCUUCUUCCUCCUCCUCCUCCUUUUUAUUUUUUAAUUUGUGUGCCUUGUAUCAUUCACAAUCUUCUGAAAACUUUUCGUUGUAGAUUACGACAUUACUGUUGUUCAACUUCUCUUUCCCUAUCCACUGGUUCUUGCACCAAGCUGGAAAGGAGAGAGGUCAGUGUAGGGUCAUGGAACCAGAAUUUGGUGGCUCAGAUACGUGCCCACCUUCACCCUCAAAGCUGAAACUGAAAGUGCACAGAAGUAGAGAAGGCAAUGAAGAGCUUGAUUAGUCAAAAGAUCGCCAAGAUGAAGACCUUACAGGAAAGAAAAAUCUUAAGCUGGACUUCACUCUUGGAGGGUAGCUUUGGCAGCAACUUCCACGCAAGCUGCAAUAAUUGGAGGCCUUUUCUUUCAAACAUGAUCAUAUCCUAGCAAUAAAGGAGAACCAUGUUGGAUCUAGGAAAAGUGUGCAUGGAGUCUAAUGGACAGCAAUAAUUUUAACUAAUUAGAAUCACGUAAUGGUCGUGUUUUAAAGAAAGAUUGGGCUACUUUCAUUUGUUAGCUUUUAUAUAAGCGUGCCUCUGUCUCCUCUCCAAAACCAUAUAAUUAACUCUUUGCAUGAAAUGUUACCUAUUUUUUUUUAAAAAAUAUAUUCUUUAAUUAGUUUUUUCUAUCUAAUUCUAAGGAUGAUCUAGCUUUUCUGCAAUUUUUUUCUUUACAACUUUGCCACCAAUCGAUCCCGCCAUACUUAUGUGAUUUGACUUCGCUUUUUGUGACUUUUUAUAUAUAUAUAUAUAUGUCUUUACAGCUUUGUUACUCUUGAGCUACGUACUAUUGAUCCUAUAAUAAUUGCAUGCUUUAGCUUUUGUGAUGAUUCUUUUGUCUUUACAACCUGGCCGCUCUUCUCCCACUAGUUUAUUCUGUCGUAUUUCUGUGCUUUGCAUUUGCUUUUUCCGCGAUGUAUAUAUUCUUGUCUAUGGAUUAUGUAACUCAUAAGUGGCGCUUGGACUGUCAGUACUACAUGGCAAUCCAAUUAGCACUGCGACUGGGCUCGCUCAGAGAUGCAAACAACAGCUACUCCCCCACCCUCCCCAGAGUGGGGCCUUUGUGGUAGUGAUCAGGUCAGAAACUACGUACUUACUCUCCAGUAAAAAGAGUGAAUACGUAAUUAUCAAAAUAACUAGCUCAUCAUAAUCAGGCAGACAUUGAGCUUUACAUGAAGAACCAAAGCUUCCACUAUCAGCAAAAUGGAAUAAAUUAGCUUUCAGAUCCGUCCAUUCCUAAGUCACUUAUGAGUAUUUCGAAUACAGACCUAGCCAGCCUGCAAUUCUAUAGUUCUGCUGGUCAUACUAGCUCAACCCAUAAAUGCCAUAUAUUUUCAACCAAUCAUUCAAAUAGAUCUUAUAUAUUUAAAUCUAAUAUACUAUAUUUUUUUAAUAAAUCAAAUAGAUAUAAAUAUAUCUGCCAGAGUUAGCGAGGGUUAGAAUUCUAUAAUAUACUUACGGUAUAGUUGAUACAUAAGAUACUAUUCAAUCGACUGCAGUGUUAAUUUUUUAUACAAAACAUUUUAAUAAAAAAUAAUAUAUGCAUCACAUGCAAAUAAUUUUUUUUUUUUAUGCAUGAAAAAUCUCAGGGUGCAUCCAAUGGCAACAAUCCACGCAGAAGGGUUGGAAUCUACUGACCCUCGCACCGUCAAUCGUUACAGUGGAGACGUGCAAUAAUUGAGUUAUAACGAGGGAACAUCAUCUUGGGACGUGGAGUGUCGGUAGAGCCCGGAGGGCGGGCCCGGUCGGCCAGCCUGGUGUCUCGCUUUCCGCGUCGCCUUGGCCAUUUUUUCCAUGCACGUUAUCAUCACACUCAGCAUCUGACCCUUUUGUUUCUUGUCCCUGCUUGCUUCCGUCUUAUCGGAAUGAGAUUCCACUGCUACUUCCCGUUGUAAUCCGGCAUUAGCUCCCGCUGUCCACCUCCACAUGCGACCCAUUUCUUUCAUGGGCCCCCUCUCUCCUUUCCCACAACCAUCCCCAAUUCUCCACAAUUCGAGUCCAAUAUCCACAUUGUCAACGCUUCAAAUGCUCAAUCAUUAGCCAAAUGCAAAUAAUGCUAGGAGAAAAUCUGGAUCCAUCUUUGAAUUGACUGCUAACUCCUCAUCUUUGGAUUAUCCAUUUAGAUAUAGAACUGAAAUAGGAUCAUCUCCGAAUCUAAUACCAGUGUAUUUAUAUUCAUGUAUAUUUUAUUUUGAUGAAUAUAGAUAUGAAUAUGAAUGCUAUAUUUAUUUUAAAUAGAUACGGAUAUAAAAUCGGAUGCUAUUAUAUAUAUAAAUAUGGAUAUAAGUUUAAUUAAAUUUUAUAAUCAUAGAAUCUAAAGAUAUUGCUAAAUAGAUGAUAAAUCUAAUUAAUAGCAUGUUAAUGUAGUCGUUUAUCUUUCUUAAAAGUUUAUAAGUGCUAUAUAAAAUUAGAUGGAGUUACAAAUAGAGUCGAACAUAGAUAUGGAUACGGAUAUUAGUCAGAUGCUCAAAUUGCUAUUUAGAUUCGAAUAAAUUCGGAUAAAAAAUAGAUACAGAUGGAUAUUAUUCGAUCUACUUUCACUUCUAUUUACAGAUCAAGCUCAACCAUGUAUAAGGACUAAAAUGUAAAAUGAUAUCCACAUAAAAUGGCAUUCAACAAAGGACCAGAUGGUAAGUUUCCCAAUAAUAUUUGAUCGAUGUAGGAGAAGCAUGAUGAAUAUAGUCUAGACUGAACCGGGGAUGCUUAACUCGAUCUCCUGAUGCGACAGCAUUAGGCCAAUGGACACUCCAUUUGCCCUGGGUGGAAUCAAGAUCGGGGUGUUUAUAAAUCAUGCUUUCAACUGCAUGCACAGAAUGCAAAUGAUGCUAUCCAUCAGUGCUCAUUAAUGCAAUGGGAUCAAGAGGCAAGAAUCAACUCCAGGAACCAUGCCUGAAACUAAUCAGGAAUCUCGAUCUUAGAUCAUGUUGGUAACCACAUUGCCAGGGCUAAGGGCCCUGGUGAAUAUAAAUGUGUUUUAAUCUAUAUUCAACAAAGAGACAUUAGUUUGAUCAGUGUUUAAUAUAUUGACAAGUACUUAUGAACCCAUUGCUGCAAUCUAUAAAUUUUUAUUUUUCUUUAUAUAAUUUUUUUAAUUUUCUUUAUUUAAUAAUUUUCUAUUCAAUAUAUAUAUCUGACUAUUUUAAUUUAAAAUUAUUCUAAUCACCAAUAUUUUACUCAAUUAUGAUUAACUUGACUUAAAAUAAUUUCAAAUUUUCUUCAUUUAAAAAAUUGUCCUCAUUGAUUAUUUACUUUUCUUUAUUUCUUAAUUUUCUUUACUCAGAUAUUUUCUACCCAUGAUAAUUAUUCAACUACAAAUCCGAAAUAGUUUCAAAUUUUCUUUGUCUGACUUUUUCUUCAAUGUAAAUAUCCGACCACAUCAAUUGUACUCAAUUAUGAUUAGCUAGAAUUUGAUAUAAUGUUCUAUAUUCAAAAUAUUUUUACUCGUUCACUAUAUAUUUAUGUUAGAAUAAAUUAUAAAAACCUCCUUAAGAUCAAAGAUAAAUUGCACUUACACCUAAUAAUUUGAAAAGGCUACAUUUAUCUCCUUGAGGCUUAUUUUAUAAAACACUUUAACUCAUAACUUAGCAAAACAUUAGCUAGACUGUUAACAUUAAAUAAAACCCGAAAAAAAUUGAAGAAUGACCAAAACAAUCUUAAGUGAUAUAACCACCACUCAACGAACUAAAAAAAUAUAUACAUUCUUCCCUUCAUCCAAAGACAAUUUUGACUUUUUACCUAAGAUGAACAACCUUGCUAACAUUAUUAAUUUAACUAAACGUAAGUAUACAUUUUUAUAAACUAUAAAAUAUAAAUGUAAUAAGGAUAAACAUUAGGAGAAUUUUUGUGAUUUACUCUUAAUUUUAUUUAUUUGGCAUUUUUUUAGAUUUCUUAUUUAGAUGUUUUACAUUCACCAUAAUUAUCUGAUUGUGGCAGAUAUUUUCUAUAUCUAACCAAUUUGUAUAGCAUAAUUUUAACUAGCAUGAGAUUUUUACGCAUUUUAAAAAGAGGGGGUAACUUCGGGACUGAAAAUGACUGAUGAAAUCUGAAAGUAAUAUUUGGACUCAUGCUGCAGCAAGGUCUCACCCUCCUGGAAAUGGACGAGUUAGCUUACUUGUAAAUCUUAGCUACGAUCGGACACCCAUCAGAAAUUCAACGAAUAUCACCAUAUGGUUAACAAAGUGUAUGCAGUAAAGAUGCCCCAGCCUGCUGAAUCCCUUUACAUCAAUAACAUGAAGCUUCCAAGCAUUAUAAACUCCGAAAUAGAAGGAUGGUAACACAUCAACAGCCAAUAUUUAGUAUUUAAUACAAAAAAUCAGUAAAUUUUCAAUUCUUACAAGUCUCUUUCACUAAUCUUCCAAGUGACACACAUGCUUUCUGGCUUCCAGUAGAAAAGGUUCACUAAAGGAACAUUCACAAUAACAAUCAAAACUUGUGUGCGUGGCUUGCAGCUGGUAAGCUCGUAAUUCUUCUUGAUAAUGACAAUGGCAAUAACUAGUUACAACACAUGAACCAAAUCACAGAAAAAGAAAAUGUAGCAAAAAGAUAAUUGCAUACAUCAUGACAUCUCAACAACACUGCUUGCAUCUGCACAUGCCAACACCUCAGAAAAGAGUAGCCAGCAAAACAAAGUAUUCAUUAACCAGAUUGCUAAUAAAAUCACACGGAACAAUUAUGUUGCUGAUUGUUUUGGUAUCUUCCCUUCUUCCUGUUGACUUGUUUUCCCAGUUCCCUGCCAAUGCGGAAAAACAAAUGACUCGUCAACGUCAUGAGUUGCCCUACCAUACAAGAAACCUCAUUUAAAGAAGAGUAACUUUAUCAGAAUAAUGUUGAUACUUUAGCAGACAUAACAAAAAUACCAACACCUUAGAUUUGGAGGUCUGCCAUACCGACCCGUAGUGCCCUAUACCGAUCGUGCUGUACUAUACUGGUAAGGUAGUGAUAGGGUACUGAGGUUUGGUUCAAUAUAUCAGCCAAACUGGUCCAAACCGAGCGGAACUGCUCUACACAACCCAAUACUGGCCUGUAAUGCCCGGUUUUUGAGCAGUAAAUAGCUGAGAGAGAGAAAAGAGUGUUGCAAGCUUGAUGGAUGCCAUACCGAAUCGGUAACGUACCGAUAUGGUUUAGUACCAAUUUUGUGGACCUUGGAUUAAACAACUUCUAUUAUUAUGGGUGCACAGCUAGUCAACUUUAAAUUUAAUAACUAGAUGGAGGAUCUACCUGAAUUUGUUGCAAGAGUUCCUCAAGUUCAAUAGUUAUCUCCGAAAAAGAGGGUCGUUUCGCUGGAACCGCCUCCCAACAUCUUUUCAUCAACUCAACUAAUUUAGGAUGCGUAUUUUCCGGAAUCUCUGGACGCAAACCCUAGUAUCGCACAUAAAGAAGUAAUACGUAAAUAUGGUUAAAAACUAUAUAAAAAAAUAUUUUUAGCAUUUAGCCUACCAAUGAGUCAAUGAUAUCAUUUCCGGCAUUUAUUUGGAUUGAAAUCAUGGCUGUAAUAAUGUCUAUUAUUAGCCUUUUUAAAGGGGAACAGAUAAAACAAGCAAACUAUUUGAUCAUGACAAUAUUAAAAAACUUCUCUUUAUGUAGUUUGAUGGACAUUUAACUUUUAUUUUUUAUCAGAUGAGAAAUGAACAUGUCAAAUAACAGGUAUCAUUCUCCACCAUAUAAAAACUAUUACAUCAAAUAUCCAUUAUAUGUCCAACUAAAAGUUGGGCUUUCGAAACAUAUAAUUACCACUAUUCUAACCAUGUCACUGCCAAAAGUAUUUAUUUCAUGGAGAGAAAUUUUUACAAUAGACAUUGACACCUUGUAUAUUGAACUAACAAAAACAAUCAUGCAAGACAAUAGAAAGCUAGAGUCGGUCCAUGUGUGAAAAGCACUUAAAACCAAAGUUUUUUAAGUCCCAGUGGGACGAAAGGCGUCCCAGCCGUCCCGUCCCAUUCCUGUGAGAAAACGGGAAUAGGAUAGGGUUAGGAAUUCGAAACCCAUCCACAUGGGGAGAGAAGAAGAAAAGGAAAAAGUGGAAGGAAAGAAAAGAAAAAGAAGAAAGAAAGGAAGGGAGAACAAAAUGAAAGAAAGAAAGGAAAGAAGGAAGAAAGGAAAGCGAAAGAAGAAGAAAAAAUAAAUAAGAAAUACAGGAAAGGAUACAAGAAAGAAAAAGGAAAGGAAAGAACGAAAGGUAGAAGAAAAAGAAAGAAGGAAAUAAAGAAGAAAAAAAAAGAAAGAAAGAAAUGAAAGAAGAAGGGGGGAGAGAGACAGGAUGGUGUGGGACUUUGGGGCAUCCCGUUCCAUGAAGAAACCAGGACAUCCCCAUCACAUGAGAUUUAAAACUGUGCUUGAAAUAGUAAGUUACAAUCUUUCUGAUAAAAUAAUACAUUGGAUAGUAACACCAAGACACAUGGAGGAAUGUUAAUAAGACACAUGAAACAUAAUUUUUCAACCUAAAAUAUUUUCACAUGACAAGACUAGAGAGAAUUUGGAAAUAUGCGGACAUUGUCCUUGCAAUUCAGCCAAUGAACUUGAGCUAAAGCACCUAAGCUUGUCACAAGUAGGUAUGAAACAAUGAUAACCAUAGCAAUCUGUAACCAAGACAACUAGAUCCUUAUGAUCAACACAGAGAACAUUUUUCUAUGUGAUGAAAAAUACAAACCAGUCUUACUCCUAAUGCAGCUUGCAAGGGUGUCAUGGUUUCAUAUGGGACCUGCACAAUGACAUCAUAAACUUGUUACUCCACCUCAUAAUCAUAUGGUCCCAUCUUCCAAAAUUUGCUGGAUCAAUAAUCCAUAAGUUGAAAGAGGUGCAAUUUCAGCAUGUACCUUUGAUGUUACUAGCUCCCAGAGCACAAUGGAAAAACUGAAUACAUCAGCCUUAUGAUCAUAUGGUUGAUGAUUUAUAACCUGGAAAGAGCAAAGUUGUAAUAUAAAAAUCAGAAAAUAUGUUUAUCAUUAUUUAAAAUAUAAGUAUGAUAAUACUACUUUACAUGGUAUGAGGUAUGUAUCGAUUAUAAUUGUGGGAGAAAGUAAUUUUGAAGCAUUCACAAUUUAUUUUUCAGGUCAACACAUGUUUAUAGCUUCAAUUUUAUCUGAUAUGAGCCAUAACUUCACCCAUAUAGACCUAUAUCAUGCAAUGUAGUUAUUAUCAGCAAUACAGCUUAUAUAUAAAAUCCUGGAUGAUUAUCCACUUCUUUUAAUAAUUUCAUUUUGCAUCUUCUUCUUCCCACCAGGGCUCUAAAGUCUGCCUCAUGAACAACAGGAAGGAAUUUCAGCAGGAAAGCCCAUUCUAUAACUCUCUCUUUUUAUGGUUGUUUUCAUGAGAUUUUUAUUUCUAGCAAGGCCAAUGACAUCUUUUUUUUCUCCUUUUUAUGCCUCUUAUCCGAAAGAAUUGGUUUUGAUGGGUCUGCUGUCCUUGAAAAUGUCCUUUAUCAUUAAAAGAUUAUAUGAAAGUUUGAACAAUUUCUGCUUCAAGCUCUUUGCCUAUUUUUUAUUUUAUUCAAUUGAUGUUUAUGACCAUCAGGACAGAUACUAGAAGUGAUUUCUAAUUUCAUAUACUAAAUUACAUGUGAAUAACUCCUAUUAUUUCCAUAUGCUUUUGAACAACUCAUGUUUUUCAAUUUAAACAGAUCAUUUUCCUUUGAAACAAAUAGCAUUUGAUAAAGUUGAUGGCUUUUCAUUUGAACCAUAUAAAUUCAACCAACUUUUAGUUGACAUAAAUCAACAAAUUUUAGCAUUGAAUCACUUUGCUCAAAAACACAUCACUAGUCCAAUUGGACCGAUCCGGCCAAACCAACCCAACAUGAGGGAUGGGUGGUCUCGAUGGAUGCCUUCGAGCAGUGUCUAUCUCCCUGCCAUCAUAGAGAGGUAAGCAGUUGGGAAACCAUCACCAAGAGACGAGACUGGAUGUGCAAUUGCCACCAGAUAAAGGUGCAUGCAUGAUCCAUGCGGAACCAUUGCCUAACCGCAUCAGUGAGGAUGCAGCAAGCACAACCACCACCUUGUUCCCUCUCUCUUCAUCUUUCGAUUCGCUACCACCACUGCCAUUUCCAACCUCAAUCCUCUCCAUGCUCACCGUCCAGUGACUAUCUACCACCAAGGAAUCAACUUUUCCUCUCCUAUUUUUCAUUCUCUCUCCUCUGUUUCGAGUCACCAUCCUUCAGAUUCUUUCACCGUUGAGCACCACCACCACCACCUUCCUUCCUCCGGUGUCUCACUGUCAACAAUCACCGCAUCAGCGAGGGGCUCAUCGCCAACCAACUCUCCCUAUUCCCCCUUUUCUCAACUCCACCACCACCUCUCAAAUCCACUGCCGACAUUUAGUUCCACCACCACCUCUCGGCUCUCUCUCUCUCGCCCUUUCCCCUUUCUCAUAUCUAAGCUAGCCUGCCCUACCAAUCAGUGCCUAAGGGCCCCCAGUCACACUUUCCCCUAUUUUUUCCAUCAUCUCCAGACCCUUAUGCUCCACCUCCUGCGUUUUGAUUGUCGGUGCCUUGAUUCCAUCUUAAUGCAGUGCCCCGCCAAAUUUCAUCACCACCACCUUGUCGAGCCUUAUCAUUCCUUUUUUGCACCAUUCACAACUCUUACAGCGCCGAUGCCAACCAUGACAAACUGACCAUCCCUCCAUUCUACUUUCUUCUCCCUCUUGAUACCCGCCACCCUUCUUCCUCGAAUUUCUAUUAACUCUCUUCAAAACCCUCACUUAUUGGGGUAAUCUUUGACCCUAACCCUAAACAAACCCCCAUCACUUUGUAAUCAUCUUUCUUAUCAUUUUCCCUGACCCUAGGUGGUCUAAUUUUGUGUAGGGGAAUGACUUUCCGAGCAAGAAGACUAGUGUGUAGCCUUUUGCACUAAUCACUUGAUCGAGGUAAGCCCCUAACCUCCUUAUUUAAUUUCAAUAGUUCACUUGGAAUAAGGUUAGGUUAGAGAAAACAUAGGACUACGAUUAAUUUCGGAAAGGGAUACUAAAAAAUAGAAUUUGAAACUAAGGUACAUAGCCCCUUUCACAAUUUGGAUUGAAUUCCUCUCCUUGCUCGAAUAGGACUAGAUAUCCUAAAAUAAAUAUGAUUAUUAGAAAUAUUCUAGAAAAAAUUAAAAUUUAGAAAUAUUGUAAAACAAACUAAAAUUUCUGAGGAGGUAGAUCUCGACUUUUACAUUAACUCUGCCUUCUAUCGCUCCGCCUGAUUCUUCUCGAAUAGAAAACUAUGCCGAUCAAAGUUUUAUCCAAAAAGAAAACUUUCGGUUUGGCCAACCCAUUUCAGAGCCUAAAUGGUGGAAUUUUGUUCCAAUUCAACCUUUCCGUUGUAGAUCUUGAAAAGCUACCCAAUUUGAAAAAAAAGAUCAUCUCAAUCGGGCAUAGUAUAACCAAGACAUAACCUUCGGAAGUUUGUCAUGCGACUCGACUUUCCGAUGUGGUAGAUCUCGCUCCAGAACCCUAUCUAGCCCUGCUUAUAGUGGCCAAAGCAUUCCAUAUCGAGUCUGGUGAUCCUCUUGAAUACUUAUAGUGGCCAAAGUCUCCAUCGAGUUUGGUAAUCCUCUUGGAUACUCGUAAUAGCCAAAGUGAUCCAUAUCGAAUCUAAAGAUCCUCCUGGAUUAAGGCUCCCUCUAUUUAGGGUAUUUAGUUCCCACUAAAUUAGAACUGAAAGUGGAAAAACAUCUGCUUUCCCGUCUCACGGUCGACCCACCUAGCUUUUCUCGAAGAUGGUUUCUGACCUAGCUCUCCUUUGCUCUCGAGUCUCGGCAAACCACUUGCUCUGCUCUUGCAUCUGAACUUCGUGGUAGGUACCCUCCUUGUUCUUCCUCGUUGAUGACUAUGACAAUUCCUCCUUUGAUCUCAAUCUCGGUAAAUCGGUCAGUGGAACCAACAUACGAGAGUUUGGCCUCUUAUAAGUAGUAUUAAGUUCUCGUACCAUCAUCACAAACUUAUUCCAGGCAUUAACAAGUCGCUUUGCCUGGGCAUCAGCUACAAGGUCAAUGUUACCUUGUGUUCUAGAGGCAUUGAUCAUGAACUCCACAUCUUUCAUGAGACGAUACUUCUUCAGACGCCAGUAUAAGAUUACAUCUCGAUCCCAAAGGUACGGGAUCCCAAGGAUAACCUGCAAUCCAAAGGAACUACUUGAUCGGACUCUAUAUGGAUUACCAGGAGCUAAACAACGGAACAAGUAUCCCUUGCAAAGAAUUGAUGAUCUUUCAAUCCGUUACAAGGAUUGCAAGUCUUCUCAAAAAUUGAUCUUCACUCCCGGUACCACCAGUUAAAAAUUACGGUUGAAGAUGUGCCCAACAUAGCUUUUAGAACUAGGUAUAGACAUUAUGAAUCUUGCUGAUGCCUUUUGGGUUCACGAAUGCACUUGUAGGCUUUACGGAUCUAAUGAAUAGGAUGUUCAAACCCUUCCUAAAUCAAUUUGUGGUAGUGUUUAUUGAUGACAUCUUAGCAUAUUUGAAUGGCCAAGAAGAGCAUGAGGAAAGGAUAAUACUGCAUACCCUCAAAGAAAAGAAACUUUAUGCUAAGAUGCAAAAAUGUGAGUUUCAGUUGAGCAAUAUGAGCUUUUUGGGCAUGUGAUCUCUAAAGAUGGCAUCUCUAUGGACCAGAAGAAAGUAGAGGUAGUGGUUGAAUGGAGUCAGCCCACUAAUAUAUCUGAGGUGCGCAGCUUCCUAGGAUUGGUUGCAUAAUACUAAAGAUUCGUUAGGAAUUAUCUUGCAUUGCUAUACCAUUGUCUCGCUUGAGUUAGAAACAAGCCAAGUUUGAGGAAACAAAAGAGUGCGAACAAAGCUUCGAGGAGCUAAAGAAGAAAUUAGUGAUAGCCUUGGUCCUAACCAUUCCAACAGUGACAGGUUUCAUAAUUUUUAGUGAUGCAUCUUAGAAGGGUUUGGACUGUGCUUUGAUAUAGAGUGGAAAGGUAGUAACCUAUGCCUCCAGAGAGCUAAAGCCAAAUGAGAUGAAUUAACCCACUCAUGAUUUGAAGAUAGCAGAUGUGGUCUUUGAAAAGUGGAGGCAUUGUUUGUAUGAGGAGCCACGUAAGGUCUUCAUAGAUUAUAAAAGUUUAAAGUACAUGUUCACCAAAAGGACCUAAACGUGAGGUAGAGAAGAUAGUUGGAGUUAGUAAAAGAUUAUAAUCUGACUAUUAAUUAUCACUCAAGUAAGGCAAAUAUUGUAGCUGAUGCUUUGACCAGGAAAUCUUCAAGUGAUUUAGCAACUUUGAUCACCAUACAAGGGCAUGUUCUGAUGGAUCUAGAGAGGCUUGAAAUUAAGGUACGGCUGCAUCAUCCUGAUGCCUAGCUAGCUAAUCUUAAAGUGCAGCCUACCCUAAUCAAGAGGAUUAAGGCAUCUCACGGAUAAGAUCCAGAACUCCAAAGAUUAGAGAGGCAGAAUUUGAUGCCACCUAGAAUUCAGAAUACAUGAAGAUGGCUCCCAAAGGUUUGGUAGCAGGUUAUUUCUACCUAAAAUUCUAGAGUUGAAGAAAAAGAUCUUGGUUGAGGCCCAUAAUUUCACAUACAUUGUGCAUCUGCCCAUAAUUCCGCAUACAUUGUGCAUCUAACAACACCAAGAUGUACAGAGAUUUGAGAGAGAAUUUCUAGUGGAACGAUAUGAAAAAAGAUAUUGCUCGGUAUGUUGCAUAGUUUUUAGUGUAUGAGCAAGUAUUUAAUGCAAGGUUCGUCGUCUCGAUACUAAACCCCGUACUGGUGUCAUCCUAUUAUAGUGUCGAUACACGGCAUAGCACGAAACGGUGAGAUAUACUGAAUGUCGGUAUGGUACGAGACGGCGAGGCAUACCGAAUAUCAAUACGGUAUAAGACUGCAUACCAGUUUGGUAUCGCUAGGGUACGGUACCUACUGGUACGGCAAAUCUACGUUUAGCGUAUGAGAGACCUGCAGGACCAUCGCAAUCCAUUCUCGUCGCUUAGUGGAAAUGGGAGCAUAUUACCAUGGAUUUCGUGACCGGUCUAUGUAGAACCCCUAAAGGUAAUGAUGCUAUAUAGGUGAUUAUUGAUCGAUUGACAAAAUCAGCACGCUUCUUACCCUUCAAAAUUAGUCUUUCUAUGGAGAGGUUGGUAAAUUUGUCCAUAAAGCAAAUCGUGAGGAUGCAUAGAGUCCCAAUUGCUAUUGUAUCGAAUAGAGAUACUAGGUUCGUAUCUCAGUUCUCUAAGAACUUGCAUAAAGCUACUGGUCUAGAUUGAGUUUCAAUACAGCUUUCCACCCACAAAUUGAUAAGCAGUUUGAAAGGACCAUACAAAUUCUAGAAAAUAUGUUGAGGGCCUAUAUCUUACUUGGAUGGUGCUUGGGAUAGCCACGUCUCUGAUAGAAUUUGCCUAUAAUUACAGCUAUCAAAGCAACCAUUCAGCAGGCACCAUUUGAGGCACUAUAUGAUAAAGGGUGCGGGUCCGCCAUGCUGGGAUGUUGGCGAGAAGAUUGUUGGGCCUUGAAUUGGUAGAGCAAAUUAUGAAAAACAUUCAGCUAAUUACGGAAGGACUCCGUACAACUCGGAGUAGAUAGAAAAGUUUUGGAAUUUUAAGUAGGAGACCAUGUUUUCUUGAAUGUAUCGUCUACUAAGAGUGUGAUAAGGUUUGGAAUUCGCGGCAAGCUGAGUUCCAGAUAUAUGGGUCUAUUUGAAAUUUUUGAUAGAGUGGGAGUAGUAGCAUAUUAGCAUUACACCCACCAUCUGAAGUACACAAUGUGUUUCAUGUAUCAAUGCUGAGGAAGUAUGUGCUUGAUCCUAGUUAUGUGGUGGAGUUUGAGUUGUUGAAACUUCAUGAGGAUCUAACCCACAAGAAGUACACAUUAUGGAUUGAAACUUCAUGAUGCUACACUAUUCCUCAUAACAAAGUUCAGUGAACCAAAUACAUUUAGAGGGAGGCUUAAUGGAUACUUGAAGAUGAGAUUUAGAGUUAAGUACCCUCAACAUUUUAGGACCAAAUAAUGUCAAUUUCAAGGAUGAUUUUUUUUUCUUGGGGAGAGGAAGCAAGAACCGAUACAAAUCCAAAUGGACCAGCCCAGAUGAACUGACCCAAAUUGAGGGUUGGAUUAUCUCAUAGCUACAACCCGAAAUAGGAGAGGCAGUCAUCUCCUUGCCAUCAUGGAGAGGAGAGUUGUUUUGAAACCAAUGCUAGGAGAUGGGAUCGAAUGCAGAAUAGCCACCGAAUAAAGGUGACAUGCAACUACCAUACCAAUAAAGACGAGGCGAGCAGAACCAACACCAUGUUCCCUCUAUUUCUCUACUUCCUCUUUCGAUAAGCGACUACCACAACCAUUUCCAACCAUAAUCUCUGCGUGCUUGUCGUCCUCGGCCUAUCAACCACCAAGGCACCAACCUUUCCUUGUUUUCUAUUUUGUCUCCCCUAUUUUGAGUCAUCAUCUUUUCAGUUCCUUCAUUGUUGAGCACCACCGCCACCACCCUUCUUCCUCCAGUUUCUCACUAUCAACGGUCGUUGCAUCUGCAACGGGCUCAUCACUGGACCAGCUCUCCCUAUUCCCCUUUUUCUAACCUCUCCACCACCUCUCAACUCCACUGCUGCCUCUCAAAUCCACCAACAUUCACUUCCACCACCGCCUCUCAACUCUCUCUCUCCCCCUCUCCCUCUCUCAAAUCUAAGCCGGCCUACCCAGCUCAUCAAUGCCUAAGGACUCCAUAUCUCACUUUUCUUGAUUUUUUCCAACCCCGGACCCUGCUUUCCUCCUCCCGUGUUUUGAUUGUCGGCACCUUGAUUCGAUCUCACUGCCGCACCCAUCGAACUUCACCACCUCCACCUCUUCGUGCUUCGUCAUGGCUCUUUGUUCGCUCCUUUCUGUGCCAUUCACAACUCUUUCAGAGCCAACAUCAACCGCGAAAAACCGACCACCCCUCCGCUCUACUUUGUUCUCUCUCUCUCGACAUCCGCCACCCUACCUCUUCCCCGAAUUUUCCUGUUAACUCAAGGUUCUCAUUUGUGGGGUAAUCUUCCACCCUAACCCUAAACAGACCCCACCACUUUGUAAUCAUCUUUCUUAUCAUUUUUCCUAACAUUAGGUGGCCUAGCUUUGAAUAGGGGGACGACUUUCCAAGCAAGAAGACUAGUGUGUAGGGUUUUACACUAAUUACUUGACAUGCAAUCCCCAUGUGUAUGGAUGGAUGUGGGCCACGGGCUAGUCUCAUUAAUAUCAUUGCCCUAUCACAAGCUAGAAUUGUGGCACUAUUAUUGCCCCGUCAUAUGCUAGAAAUACGACACUAUUGUUGCCCUAUCAUGGGUUGGAAACAUGAUCGAGAUUAGCCCAAAGAUGAAUUCAAAUUAAAUUACAUUUGUAAACUGAUGUCUGCUAGAUUGCAUACCUUACAAAAUAAUAUAAAUGGGAAUGACCAAUUUAGUGAAAGUAUGGAGUUAUUAAUUUUACUUGCUUAAUUAUUAUUGUUAUUGUCUCAUGUAAUGAAAGAAAGAUGCAUUCAAGUACUAGUUCUUUUGAAUAUAUAUUUCAUAAUGAUGCUAUCUUUAUCUUAUUGUAACUGCUAUACUUGUUGUUAGACAAUUUCUUUUGUCCAUUAUUUAAUAUAUAUCCAUGUGUGGGGGACAUUCUUACUGAGUCGUUAGCUUAUAUCAUUCCUUUAUUUUUCCUUUCAGAGCCACAAGAUGCUUAGAACUAGGCUAAGUUUGUGGUAAUGAGUAAGAAGUGGAAUAAUUAGAGCAUCUCUGAUACCACUCGAGUGUUUGGAACUUAUAGCUGGAUAAUUAUUUGUUACUAGUGAAAAUAAUUUAGUUUGUUUUAAAAAAAUAAUGAACAUGAUUUAUAUAUUAUUCAAUCUAAUUGAGAUUUUUUAUUGAUUUGAAUGUCUUGCAUAUUCUCUCGGCUAUGCUUACAAAAAUAUGCAGCCAUGUCGUGCCCAGCUUGAGUUUGGGUUAGGGGUGUGACAACAUAUCAAAAUGAUAAACUACACAUGUUACCUGGAAAUGCCGCAUGAAAAAGAGAUUAUGCUAAAUAUUCUUUAGUAUUCUAUUAGUUUGUAGGCCUUUGUACUCCUUUUGACUUCAGUACAUUACAUUAUUUUUUGUUCAAUCCAUUUUUGAUUCCUAGGCUGACUCAAAUGGGCUUAACAAACAGAACUACCAUAUACCAUAUAUGAAAAGCAUUCAGUUUUAUCCAUGCAAUUUGGGUAGCAUAUUCAUCUAAUUGUGUUUAUAUAAUCUUUAACAAUUAAAUGACGAUAUGUUUUCCUGUACCUUAAUGUUUUAUACAAUGAAUUUCAUAGUGCAUAUUUCCAUUUAAUUUCAUUAUGUGUAACAAAAGCAUUUUGUCAGAUUGUAUAUAAAAUGCUUUGACUCCAUUCUGAACUUUUAAAUCCAUAAGCAUAACCAAAAUGAUCAAGCCUAGUCCCAACUGUGUGGUCAGAUUUGUGAAUUCACAGUCGCCAUGUUUACCUAUUUUGGGUUGCCUCUGAUGUUGUUUCAGGAUUCAUGAAUCCUUAUUCUAAUUUUCAAUUAAAAGUACUAUAAAAUUUCAAAUAGUUAGAUAAAAAUAUAUGCAGGCCAGUUAAUAAUUUCUUCUUUAGAGAAAAUUAAUCAACUAUUUUAAAUCAGUUUCACUAAAUCUUGCUGAAACACAAUCAUCAUUAACUGGAUUGUGUGUAUAGCAUGAUUGAUACGGGAACCUUCCUGAGGUCAGGUAAUAUUUCACUUGAUAAGACUAUUUGUAGAAUGAACAGAAAAAAGAAACAUGGAGGGACUAGUUUAUAUAUCUGUAGCUACCAUUUUGGAAAGCUGUGGCAGCGAUCAGUGCCAUCAGUUAACAUUCUAAUGUCUACCAUGUCAUUUAACAUAUCAGAUUACAGUAAAAAAACAGUUUGAGAAAACAAGUUCGAAAAAUUUAGUAAUGAUUGUUAUUUUGCUGAAAUGGCAGUAAAAGAGAAAUUCAAAGGACAAAAACAAAACUAUAAGCUGAGGUUCAUUACAUAAAAUUAUAGAUUAAUACAUACUAUCAACAGAUAUAGCAAAAUAAGUAAUCCAUUUAUAAAAUGAAGAUAAUACCUCAGGUGCCAUCCAUCUGUAUGUCCCAGUUUCUGCAGUCAUAUCUCCCUCUUGACUUUGAAACCGAGCCACACCAAAGUCUGCCACCUUCACAACCUAGGUUAGUAGAAGUAAAACUAUAAAACUCAUCUUGAGUGAAGUUGCAUGAUCCUCAACUAAUAAAUUAAUGAAUUGCAUCAGUAUUACUUAAACAAAGAAUAACCUCAAAUACAAAAAACAAAGAAUAACCUCAAAUAUAAAAUACAUAUAUAUAAAUCCAUGCAAACAAGUACCUCAAUCAUGUGUUUAUUUUUUUCAGUUACAUUAUGAGUUUUAAUAUGAAAGGAAGGAUCUGAGAAGUCUUAAGGACAAAACUUAGCAGAAACACAGGGACAAGGGCCUUGGAACAACACACACAAUGCCUCAAGCAAGAAAAUAAAGCCUCUGGUCACUUCCAAACCGGAUACAGAAAACAGACCUCGGGUCCAUGGUUUUGGAGCAUCUAAAAAUUGCUGGUAGAAACCCCACAUUCUCAGACUAGGACAAAUGGUAUAUCCUCUUAAUAUAAAGGGACAGAAUAAUGCCUUUCCAUUGUUUCCUUGAAAGUUGUUCAAGAAAAGAUAGAUGUUAGUCAACAUUAAGUAAUGAUCGUCAAAGAACACCAAAAUAUCUAGCUUGUACCAGAGUCAUGUAUAGAAAGUUUGGUGAAUUUGCAUCUAAUUUUCAGCUAAAUGAAUUUUACUCACCUAAAAACAAAUUAUGCUGCUACAUCUAAUUCAUAAACAAGUGUUUCUUCUAAGGAAGAAAAGAGAAAAAAACAUGUAGAAUAAAUUACUGGUUCAUUCUAGCAAAAAUUAUUGAAUCUUGAAUUUUACUUUUCUGGUAAAAUUUUUAAAACAUAGCCUCAAUAAAAUCUUAAGUUUGAAAAUACUAGAGAAAAUGUCAUUUCUCUGACCGAGAUUAUGCUGGGUUAGUUUUUGGGAGGUGAGAAAUAUCAAGCUUCUAUCCUUUGCACCACGUCACACCAUCUCCUUCCUUACUGAUUUUAUCCUUGUCAAUGCAACUUUAACAUUUCUUCAAAGAUACUAUAUCCUAAAUCCUAGUUCUCCCAAAUUUUAUUGCAUAUCGACCUCAGCAUUCUUGUCUAAGAUUAAAAUCUCAAAAUGUAGCUUUGACAAGACAUACCAAUCCAAUUACCUCUGGAAUUUUUGGAUGACUCAAGGUACCAUAUCUUCCUUCUGAAAAAAGAAAAAAAUUGCAGAAUUGUAAAAUAGAACGCAAACAAAUAUAUUUCACUAAGCACAUGAACUAGUCCUAUUCCCAAUUUGGAUUGUAUUUCCUAACACAAAAUUUUAUGUGAGAAUACAAACUUUAGCAAGCAAAUUCUUCUGCCGUUAAAAAAGUUAAUACUAGUUAGUGUAAACAAGUUAGUUUACCAGUCAAAUAGUCCAGUUAUGAAAUUCAUUAAUAUAAAGCUUAUGUUUUCUAAGCAGAGAAAAAUUCAUGUAUUAUGACCUUUUCUUUCAUAACAUGUGCUAUUUGAUUGCUGCUUCUUUUUUGUAAUGAACAUAUGCAAAUAUCAUAGCACACAAUCUACUGGAAACCUCCAGGCAUGAAAUACACUAGAACUCUUCCAUUCCCUCCUUAACUUCUCUUAUUCUGAUGGCGAUAAAAAAUACAUACAUUAAAGAAAAAGGUGCAUCUGUUAUGUUUUUGAUUGCAGAAACUAAUACUUGUUAUAAAGUCAGCUUUCUGAAUUUUUUUUCUUUCCAUAUGCAUCUAGCUCCACACAACCAUAAAAGCAUGAUCUUGAAAUACAUAAAAUUUUUAAGACACCAAAGAUGUAAGGAAAUCAUAUAAUCAUAUAUAAUCCAACAUAAUGCAAUAUCAACAGAGGCUACACACAUUGUUGGUAUCCAUCAACAGGUUAGCUGUCUUUAAAUCCCUAUGGAUGAUGUCGUUUUGGUGCAGAUAGCUCAUCCCUCUGGAGAUAUCAAUGGCAAACUUCAGCAAAAGAGAGAGCUCCAAAACAUUAUGAUGCUUGUGCAGGAGGUCAUAGAGAUUUCCUCCAGUCAUGUACUCUGAAAUACAAUUUUAACCAUUAUGUAAACCAUGAGAAUAUAUUCCAAGAUGACAAACACCAGCCAAACAAAAGUGCUAUACAUAUGCUUUCUGCCCAUUAAUGGCAAGAUAAACAAUAUGAAAACGUUCUCAAGAACUGAAACUAACUAUUCAUUAUGAAAUUUAUCAUCUUAAACUUACAAGAGAGAGACAAUAUCCUAAUGCAGUACAAGAUGUUUCCCUUGUCAAUAAUAUACAAAAUUAUGUAUAGAGUAUAAGUAUAAUGGUGAACAGAAACCAUGUAUGAUGUUAAUGAGGCGAAUUCCAAGGAUCAUAAAGAUGAUUCAGCUCAAAUACAAAACCCACUAUACUAGAAAUACUAUAUGAAACUAUAAUGAAGACAACUACUUGCAAAUAAGCCAUUAGAUGAUUAAAUUAUGGGAAACAAGUAAGAAUAAUCAAGGAUGUAGUCAGUUAAAUAACUUGUUCAGUGUAGUUGCAACCAUUUGCAGAUAAUUUUGAAAAAAAAAAUCCAGAUCCAAAACAAAUUGUAACUGAUAUCCAUGAAAACUUCUUUCUUCAGGAUUUGUACAAGAUUUUUCUAUGACAUUAUGGAAUAAGACAGAAGUGUCAUCACCUUGAUCAGCUACAUGCCAUAAUUACUAUAAUUUAAAAAAUCUUUUUUAAAAAACAAUAUUCUCAUAUAAUUGCAGUUAAUUUUGAUCAGGAUCGCUUAACAUGGAUUCAGUAGCAGCGAUUGAACACAUAUCACGGCCCAAACUGUUUUGGUUGUUGUCAUGGGUUAGUGGUUUGGCCGGCCAAGACCUCCAUUUAACAUAUUUUCCUUACACAUUUGUGAUUAGUGAUCUUAAUCCCUAAUCUCACCUUUUCGUUCCCAUAGUGGUCCUCAUGAGCUUCAUUUGGAGAAGGCCUCUAUUUUCCAUACCAGGAGGCACACCAAACAAUCCUCAAUAGUACCCUAGCCAUGCUCCGCCGAACCGGUACCGAAACCCAUAUUGGUCGGCGGGCGGGUUGGUACUGUACCGGUUCAGUACCGUACCGACAUACGGUACGCUUGGGUGUGCCAAUACUAUACCAUACCCACAUACGGUACGCUUGGGCGUGCCAGUUCGGUGUGUCGAUACUAUACCGUACCCACACACGGUACGCUUGGGAACCAGCACGCCCAAUUUUUUUUCAAGUUUUUCAAGUUUAAUUAAUUGGUAAUCAAUCUUUUGCAACUUUUUAAAUGGUUUUAAGUCUAAUUUGAUGGUUUUUUGUUUUUUUUAAUCUUUUUAUAUUUUUUGAUGUUUUUAUGAUUUGAUUUAAUCUAAAUGAUAUAUUUUAUUGUUUUAAAGUGAUACAAAAUAUAAAGACCGGCACGCCCAAUUUUUUUUUUUUCAAGUUUUUCAAGUUUAAUUAAUUGAUAAUCAAUCUUUUGCAGCUUUUUAAAUGGUUUUAAGUCUAAUUUGAUGGUUCUUUGAUUUUUUUUGAAUCUUUUUAUAUUUUUUGAUGUUUCUAUGAUUCGAUUUAAUCUAAAUAAUAUAUUUUAUUUUUUAAAAUGAUACAAAAUAUAAAAUGAUUAGUGAGAUGUUAUAUGCCACAAGAAGCAACAUGAAAUAUCUUAAAAUCAACUAAUGAGAUAAAAAAAUAUAAAAUAUUACUGUCAAUUAAAUAUUUAAAGUACAUCCUACAUAUCGAUAUCUAAAAUUUCGUCGAGUGGCAAUGCCUCUUGUAGAAAUCUAGAUCAUUAGCAUAGCCAGACGGCAUAUCAACCCAUCCUUCUAACCAAGCAGUGUUGUAGUUUUUUAUGUUCAUCCUAUAAAGAACACGCUCUAGAUUAUAAGCACUCUCAGAUCUCUCGCUGAAGUUCUGACUCUGAGAGAUGUCCUCUAUCUGAUAAAACGGUUGUGGAAGGAUCCAUCCGAAUAAACCGGCAGCAAAAUUCGAUCCAUAAGAUACUCUGGACAGCAUAGAAUAGUAGCCACCGGAAGACAAUGCCUCAGACACUAUAUCCAUAAUUGUAUCCGUACGGAACAUAGGUUGCCUAUGACUGUGGGUAAUAGAAUCCAAUAUACGACUCGAAAUCUGAAACAUCUAUGGAUUCUACUCUACGUGCAAGGUCAUCUGUAGCUGCAUCAUGUCCUCCUGAAUGAUCUCAAGAAGUCUAUCAACUAUAUGCAAUCAUAUCCUCGCAGGCUCUACCAAAUCGUGCACCGUGAUCUCUAUUCUGUGUAGCAUGCGUAAACUAGAACUCACCCGUGAAUUGAAGAUAAUCCUAUGACUGUCUCAUAAACGGUGGUCUCAUGUCCUCCACUCGCUAGCCAGCAAAUCCAUGACCACCAAAGCUGCUACUCCUAGUUUUUAAAUCUAAGUGAACAGGCUCCUCCACACUCUCCAUAGGGCCUUUUGAAAUAUAUAUUAUGUGAUACUAAUUUUCAUAAUUUUUUGAAUCCAACAAUGGAUACUACAUAUAUUUUUUUAAACUCGUGGACUUGCCCAGGCCACUAUGCAUAUGAUCGCAUCAAAACUUGAAUAAAUGGACACCAAAUUUUGCUGGAGAGUAGCUUGCAUGCCCCUAAAUACGCCUAUGAUUUUACAAAUUUUUUUGAAUUUUAUUUUUUAUACUUUUAUUUUUAAUCUGAAAAUAUAUUUUUAAUUUUUAAAAAUUAUAUAUAAUUCAAAAAUUAAAAUUUUUUAUGUCAUCAUGUAGAUCAUCCAUAGAUCAACAACAUAUCAUUAAAUCAAGCCAAAAUCAAAAAUUUUGCUGAGAUCUUCUCUUAUUUGGCAAAUUUUGAGCUAUUUUUUGGAGCCCAAAAAAAUAGAAAGAAUGAGAAAGAGGAGACACGCCUUAUUUAGACUUAGAUCUUUCUUCAAUCAUGCUGAAUCGGUGUGAUUUUCACCGCGAAGAAAAGAAAAAAAAGUUUAGAGAACAGAAUAAACAUUGGGAAGGCUCAAGAGUUUCUCGGGCCUUUCCAACAUCUUAUUAUAACAAAGAAGAAAAGGGAAGGAGGCCAGUUCCGAACCAUCCCGACUCAGUGCAAACCGUCCAUGGAACCGGCUGGUUCCGGCAAGUUCGCGACCGGUUCUGAUAGGUUCUGUGAGGCCCAAUGAUCUUACAUCGAAAAGACUCAUUCCAGAGCCUGAGCAUAUGAGGGGGGUAUCUCCAAAUCCUGCAGAUGCAUUUUGGGUGGAAAACAAAACCGGAGAAGGGUCUGAGCAGUGCGUGCGGCGCGCGUGCGAGCCCCGGAACCGGACAAUAUCGGGCAGGGGAGCCCCGUGUUCUCCCCUCAUGUGGCUCCCACAUGGGCACUGGGUGCCGUACGUGCCCCAUGGAGGUAGGGGNNNNNNNNNNNNNNNNNNNNNNNNNNNNAGGACGGCUCUUGUCCGAUGGUGGAAAGAGUGUGAGGCCCAAUAGUCCCGCAUCGGAAAGACUCGUUCCAGAGUCUGGGCAUAUGAGGCGGGUGUCUCCAAAUCCUGCAGACGUAUUUUAGGUGGAAAACAAAACCGGAGAGGUAUCUGAGCGGUGCGUGCGGCGCGCAUGCGGGCCCCGAAACCAGACAAUAUCUGACAGGGAGCCCCAUUUCUCCCCUCAUGUGGCCCCCACGUGGCCACUGGGUGCUGCACGUGCCCUGCGGAGGCGGGGGCGUGACAGGUUCUGUCCAGUUUCGGCCAUUUCUAGCCAAUUCGGGACCAAUCCUGAAUUUAAUAGCCGAACCGAUCCGAUCCCCCACCAAGCCAGCUCAGUACGGGCCGAACCAGAUGGUUCAGUUCGGUUCGGCUGACCAUGACCUUAGCUUUGCCCCAACACCCUUCCCUCCUAUGCUAAGAUUGCCUUUCUACCUCCACUACCCAAAACCCCAGUCUCCCAUUCUCCCUAGCAGCACUGCCUCUUUGACACCAACAACAUCCACUCUGACUUUCUGAUCUUUGAUGCCAAAAUACUGCUCCAUUGUUGUUAAAAGCCCCAUCAUUAAUAGAUCCAAGCCCAUUCCCCCUCCACCACCAUAUCCUACAUCUGGUUCCUUCGGGAUUGUAGGGGGGUGAUGGGGAUUUAUGGUUUGAGAGAUUGAGCUUUAGGUGAAUGUGGCUUUAUUUUAUUUUAUUUUGCAACGUAUAAAGUUUGAUCUUUCAAAAACUUGAACCCAGACUGUGAGGGGGAUAAUAGCGAUUUAGGGUUUGAGAGUGAUUGGGCUUCAAGGGGAUUGCAAUUUUAUUUCAUUUUACAUGGUACAUAUUAAAAUUUGAUCUUUCAAAAAUGUUGAACUAGGGUCUUUAACUACUCAAGUGGUCAAAGCAUCAGGCUAAACAAUUAAAAAAAAAUCAAACCUACGUCUAGAAACUAGACUCGGCAGUUGGCAACUACGACAAGACAAUCUAUUCAACCUGAGCAGGUUUUAAAAUACUAUUUGAUACUUGAGAAGGCUCAACAGACAAAUUUAACACUCUACAUCCAAGGUCUGUCAAACUAGUAUCGGAGCUUGCAUUGGUCAGAAACAAGUUUGGUCUGAUAUGGGUCCUUGUUGUACUAUGCCAGAGCAUACCAAAACAAAGAGAGGCGAAGAGGGAGGACAAGGAGGGACAGAGGGGGAAGAGAGAGAGAGGAGGGAGGGAGAGGGAGAGGAGAGAUUGGAAGGAGAGAGAGAGGGGGGGAGAGAGAGAGGUGAGGCCGAGGCGUNNNNNNNNNNNNNNNNNNNNGAGAGGAGAGAGGAGGAGAGAGAGAGGAGGAGGAGGAGGAGGAGGAGAGAGUAGAGGAGAGAGAGAGGNGGGGGAGGAGAGAGAGGUUGAGGCCGAGGCGUCCGACGACAGCUUCAUGAGGGGAUAGAGGUUGGAGGGAGAGGGAGUGACGGGAAGUGAGGGCUUUGCAAGGGCUCGAAGUAGUUUCGAGCCAUCCGGAUUCGGUGAUAGGGACCGCGAGAGAGACAGCGCUUACCUUGAGUGAUCGUCCGACAGAGAGAGAGCGGAUGAUCCGAGCAUCUAGCAAAGAGAGCAGGAUGGAGUCGUCGAAGGCUCUCGAAGCUCUAGUUCAAACCGAGAGGGAAGGAGAGAGAUUUUAUAACUCAAACCAACCCGCACGACUAAACUGUUCCAGGCUAACAUCGAUUCAGGCCGAACCGCUUGGUUCAGGUUGCUUCAACAUUCUUUGUUGUAAUCUUACUCCAACAAGUGCCAUCACAGCUCAAUUGGAUUUCAAAAAUAUGAAGUGUCCGCUCUAGUCAAAAAUGAAUCAAGAGGAUAGAUUGUUUGCUUAAACUGUGUGAAUUAUUAUUAUCUCCACCCUAAUAGGUUCUCUUUUCUAAUGUUUGUUGACUAGUGUAUUCGUCUGUGAUGAUUAAGUAGUUAUGAGAACCCACGUAGGCAUGUGUUAAGUCUCACAUCAACUAUGUACAGGGUAGAUCUUGGAUACUUAUACAGGGCCAAAUAACCCAAAUAAUACCUUCCAGCUAAUCUUUUUGGAUGAGAUCCUGGAUUGUGAUAAAUGGUAUUAGAGUGGAUCCAACCCAUAGCCCAUGUGUACUGGGGGCACUGCAGCAUAGGCCCCUUGGGUUGACCACGGACUGAUCAUGAUGGUUGUGAUUGGAAUUAUGGUACUUAUGUUUGGAUUUGAAUGAAUUUAGACCCUUAACCUAAAGAGAAUGUCAGGACUUAAACAGGAGGAGCACAUGAGGCCUUGUGUGGGCCCGUGUUUAGUCUCAUAUUGGCUAUACACUAGGUAGAUCUUAGGUAUCUAUAUAGAGCCAAGUAACCCAAAAAACAACUUCCAGCUAGCCAUUUUGGAUGAGAUCUUGGGUUGUAACAAUAGUAGUUUAGUCGUUACCUAGUUGUAGUACCAGAAAGGACAUGUUUGUGUCCUAUAAUCUUUUCUUCUUUGUAAACCAAAACAGCAUGAGAUAAACCAUAUGAAAAACUAGCUGCAUUUUUAGUCUGAUCCUUCUAUUUUAAGGUUCAAGCAGAAUAGAAAAAUCAUCAGGUCUUAUAAUAUUCCACAGCUAAUUAAGUCACAUUCAGACCAUAGACGUAUUUAGUUCUGUUAAGCAGAUAUACCUUGUUGACCCUUUUCCAAUCAUCCUAAGCUUUUUCGUUUAAUUGGUUAGUUAACACAGUAUCAGAGCUCAGACUUGCUAUACAUCAGGAGUUUGAAUUCCCUCCACAGUUCAAUUAUUGAUCAAAUUAUCUUCGGUUAUCUGUUAUCCUGAUUUAGUUAUGUCUUGGCUGUGUUAUCCUUACACGUGCAUGAUCCCAGUCGCACAGGAGGAAGCUGCAUAUACAUUGUUGACCCUUUCACUAU
rnacentral:lncRNA from 1 species